AUCUUCCCACCCAUCGCCGCACCCUCUCCGAAGAAAACCUAGGGUUUGGGUUCGGGUUCCCCUCUGAUAUCGAUCAGCCACCGACCGCCGACCGCCGACCGCCGACCUCCGAGCAUGACCGGAAAAGCGAAACCAAAGAAGCACACGGCGAAGGAGAUCGCCGCUAAGGUCGACGCCGCCACCACCAACCGUGGCGGAGGCAAGGCCGGCCAAGCAGACCGCUCCGGCCUCGACAAGGGCGGCCACGCUAAGCUCGAGUGCCCUCUCUGCAAAAUCACCGCUCCCGACCUCAAAUCGAUGCAAAUCCACCACGAAGCUCGCCAUCCUAAGGUCCCUUUCGACGAGGCCAAGCUCUCCAAUCUCCAUGCCAGCUCCGUCCCCGAAUCGUCUAAGCCUCGCCCUGGGGUUCGUGGCAGCUUCAAGAAGUAAUUCUUGCUUCUCUGAUUUCGAACUUUUUUUUUCCUGUUCGAUGUUGUGUCCUGUGGCUUAUCGAUAUGGGUGAUGGUGAUUAGGAUCUAUGAGAUGUGAUGAAGCGUUGUUAUGGUGUGUAUAUUAGACGUGGUGAUGAUCCUUUAGGUGGGAAUAGUGUGGUGUUAUGGAUCAUAUGAAUAAUGAUAAUAUGAGUACUUUAGCUCCGCAAAUUUUUAUUUUUUUCUUCUGUUGAUGGUUAAGAAAAGGUUGUGGGAUUGUUCUUGUUGAUGAGCAAAAGAUCUGGUUGAUAGGUUUGUGUUUAGGGCUUGGGAUUCCUUUAGUUUGAUGUUUCGAUUUCUGGAAAUCGUAGAGGAGGACGGGAGGGGAUGUAGGAGGCCCUUCCGCAGUUGAAUGUUCUGGAGUGGUGAAUGCAGAGGACGGGUUUCUGAACUAGAGGCUUUUUCUAAUUCAAGGAAAAUCAGAAUCCAUCUUUGCAGUGUUUCCUGUUAGCUAGAGGGUUGUUUUGAAUAAGAGCCAACUAGGGUAGAAAAGGCACUAGCUAAUCUGACCUUGGUAGGAAAAUCAACCACAACAAAAAGAUGUGUGGAACCUCCAGUUUGAUUUGGCUGAAAAAUGUCUUGGUUAUUUAAAAAGUUGCAACUCUUAACUUCUCUAACCAAGUCUCUUAAACUGUGAAACCAUCUCAUAUGCUCAAUAGUAAAGCAGGUCAAGCAUGCCACUUAGGUACAUCAAGCCCUUUUGAGUUCUUCGAGCUUCACGCUUGAUGUGGGGAGGUAUAACGUAUAUCAGUGUUGUAUUCCUAUGCCCUUGGAAAGGCAGGAGAUGUAUUUAUCUCAGUAAGGAUGGGCUUAGGCCCUUGCCCCUUCCAAGGGGUUGCCCUGUUCAUGAGAGUGGGAAGGAACUGGUAAAGUCAACUAGUAAAUGUUGGGGAGAAACCAACCAUUGCUCAAUUAACAUGUUGAGGUGACUCGUUCAUUUGCAUUUUAAGCAAGGUGAAAUGCUUCCAUCGUGAGAUGUAUGGGAGAAUUUUAUUUGGCGUUCACCAUAGGACAUCCAAACAAUCCCACUAGGUUGUCACAUGUCCUAGUAUGGGAAAGAAACCAAAAGAUCCUGACACAUGAUGCUCCAUCAAUGGCUUUUUAUGAAUUGCAACUACUAAUGAUAUGCAUUUUUGGAGGUGCAUCUAUGUGCCACUUGGCCUUUACAUCAUAAUGGAUACAUGUCAAAAAAUUGUAGGUCUAAGUGUCACUAUGAAAUUGAACGCCGAUAUUUAGCUCCUUUCUUUGUGUGGCUUAUGUUAGCAAGGUGGCAUGAUAUGAUAUAGGUUGGUGCAUAUGCCCCUCUUACUAGCAUAGACUUUACAUGCUUUGUGGGCUACAUGUGUUCUACAGAAUAUAUAUUCAAUAGGAGCAUGUGUUAGCACUUUUUUUUUUAUGCCUAUCAAAAUUUUUUUGUGCUAAUGUGCUCCUAAAAAAUAUAUAUACCGUAGAACACAUGAAUGCGCUUCCAGAGGCCAUGUCAUUAGUAGCCCCACUUCACAUGGGAUUACUAAUGAGCUCCACAUGUCAUUUCAUCUUUAUGUGGCUCUAAUAGCCAUGACCUCUUUCUGUCCUACUAGGACAUGGUGCCAACCUGGAAGUGGAUGCUUAUUUCUUGUGUAAAAGCUUGGACUUCUUGUAUGUCCAUGUCAAGGGAAGUUUUCCUAUCCAUUUCAGGAUGUAGGCAUUCACCUUGCUCAUAGGUACAUUAUGAGUGAGGUGAAUGCUCUAUCAUGUUGUAAAUCCACUUGUCUCGACAUGUGUCCCCCAGACAUUGUUUACCCUCCUCUUCUCUCAAAUCAGUGAAGAUGGUUUUGAAAUGCAUAUGGUAUAUUCCUACUUUUUGUGAGCCUCUUGUAAAGCCAAAGGCUCCAUGUCAAUCCCAAGGUUUUGGAAGUUGAAAGGUUAGUCCCCUCAUAGAAAGUCCAUGCAGUAUAGGACCUUUUGAACCUUGCCUUCAACUAGCUCAAUAAUAUUAAUGGUAGGGUGCUGUCUAGAAAGCAUGUUCAAUGAUGAUUCAUGGAGAUAGAGCUGCUUUCGGAGUUUUGGAGAUUGAUCGUUGAGAAAUAAGCUACCUUUCACUGACUCCAUUAGAGGGCAUAACUGAGAUAGAGGGGCAUCCUUUUCAUAUUGGAGAAGUGGAGUUAUGAUUCCUUGUGCAUUCAGAAGCUCAGGUGACAUAAAUGAGAGAAAUCCAUGAAGAUAUUAGGGGGGCCAUAAAUUGUACUUCUAACUUGUUAGUAAUGAAUUUUUGUUUUGCAUGUGUAUAUAUGUAUAUAGGGUCAACUACUAGUAGACCUGGAUCAUGGAGCUUUAUGAAUUGUGCUGCUUGAUGAAUUGACCAUGUUUCGAAUGAGUUAAAGUGUCAUGCUAAUUACAUGUGUGGUGAUCAUAUAUUAGUUCAUGUGGUGUGCCAAAACAAUAUACCUACAAAGUCCAAUGUCAUUUUGUCCUUCCACUUUCUUUUCUUUUUCCCCUCCAAAUAAAAAGUUGGGAACAAAUGGGAAUUGGAGAGAGAGAGUGAUUUUGUAUGGCAACAUGUUAAAUUGUUGAAUGUACAUGUGGAGUAUUGAAGCUCAAGUGAUAUGAAGUGAAAUAGGUUUUAUUUGAAUGAUAAUGAACUUGAAAAUUUAGAACUUCAAAUGAAGCCAUACUCGCAUGACCACCAGAAGAUAAUACAGAUAUUCUUACUUGGGCAGAACUUGAACUUGAACUUGGAACUUAAGAUUAUAGUUAUAGUUUAGUUCAUUUUGUGGGUUUUAUAAUGAGUACGUCAUUUGAAUAUUAUGUUUUAUUAAUUUAAUUUCAUCAAAACUCUAGUCUCAACAUUUACCUGUUUAGUGGAUUUUAUGAGCACAGAUACACUGCUGGGAGCCAGCCUAUAUAGCCUUUGACGGUAUCUUGAAGACUCUAAUCAGGGAAUCGUUGAUGGGUUGUCUGGUUGACAUGUGACUGUGAUCACCCCACAAGGAAUUCUCAUGUAGUUGAAGUUGAUUCUGGUGAUGUGGUGUGUUUGAGAAAUGGAAAUAAUGACCCGAAGGUUUAUCAGUAUGUUGUUGGCCUAUCAGGGAAAAACAAAAUAUCAGAAUGUAGUUGAUGAAAUCAUGGAUUUGGCAAUGCUAGUUAAUAUAUUGUUUUUGUUGUGCAUAAUACAGUAAGGAUAAUUGUGUCAGCAGCUAGUUUUAUUAAUGGGGGCCAAUUUCCCUUGACUGAACCUGGAUACGGGGAAGUUAUUAGUGGGAUGCAGGGAACAUAGGAGAAAUACAGAUUGUGAUAACUAGGAAGUUGUUUGGUCCUUUGGGGUGUGGUUGUGGCUAAGCUAUCCCGCAUUUUUCCGGAAGGCAGGCUUCAAAUUUUGUAGGUCUUCGGUGAGGUACUUUGCAUUAAGACUCGUGAACUUUGUUGGGUUGGCAGUCCUGGUCGUAGGUCACACAGGGCGAUGUUCUGGGGAGAGACUUAUGCCAUGUUUGGUUCUUGGAGAAUUUGAGGGGAAAAAAAAAAAAAGAAGGAAAAUAAAAAAAAGAUUUAGAAUUAAUAAAUUAUUUUUAUUUAUCAUUUUAAGCUUAUUUUAAUUGUUUUAAUUCAUUGAUAUAAAGAUAAAACAAUUUAAAAUUUUAUAAGUUUUUAACUGGUUUUAAUUAUAUUUGAUGUGUUUUGAAAUUUUUUAUAAAAUAACCAAAUAUGAGAAAAUUAUUUUUCUUUAACAUUUAUUUUCUUUCUUUAUCAUUUUUUGAGAACCAAACAUACAGCUCACAUGGUCGGUGGAAUGUUUUAUAGGGGUUGCAAUUCAUUAAAUUUUGGUGUAGCUUUGUGUUUAGCUACUGAUAUCAUUGCAGCUGUUAAAAUAUAUAUAUAUAUAUAUUUAUUUAUAAUUAUUUUUUAAAAUAACUGUUAAAAUAUAAGUAAAAACAACUAAAACAUGUUUUCUGUGAACACUUGAUGUGUGUUUUUCUGCUUCACACCGGAUAUGUGUUUUUGUGCUUUAGAUGUUAAGGAUGAUGAAUAUUGUUAGAUGGGUUAAAGGUUGUUGUUUAUUUGUUUGUUUAGAUGGAAAACAUGAAAGAAAGAUUUAAGUAAACUAAUUUUAGAAAUCGUUUUAAAGAAUUAUUUUUGAAAACUUUCCCAAAUAGGUGCUUAGGAUGUGGGCUGUUUUUAUGGGUGGAGAUGCUUUUAAGAGAUUUGGUGCAUUUAGAGAUCAAUUUUUUUUCCUAAUCAAAUUAGAAAAAACAUCACAAGUUUUGAAGUCUUGAACAGCAUUUCUGUUUUAAUAAUUUAUACUAUAUUGGUAUAUUUUAGUGUUCAUCUUAAUAAAUCUUUUGAAUGGGCCCACAGGGAUCAAGCUUUAUUGUCUUCCAAUGCUUACUUUUGAAAUCUUGUUUUUUAAAAAAUAUAAUUUUUAUUUUAGAAAAAAUUAUCCAAAAGGGACAGAUGCAGAUCAUAAGGAUCCUAAAGGGUUACAUCGAUUGAAAUUCUUUUUGAAGGAUGAAAUAAAAUAAUAUAAAGUCCCCAAAAGGUCAUUCGCAUAAUUGAUGGCUUAUAAUUAAAAUGAGAAUAGAGCAAAAACUUUUUCUAAGGCCAUCCUUCUUGAUUGUUGAAUGCCAAAUUGCCAAUUACAUACCAAUUCUUGCCCUAAAUCCAAUGGUUGGAAACUUUGGGAGGGUAGAUGAAUUCUACAGAGUUUCUAUCUUGUAAAACUUUGGAAUCUUUAGAGGUAAAUGAUAAAUUAAGGUUAUGUUUGGUUCUAUGUGAAUGAUUUUAACUUUACAUUAAAAUAAAAUAUAAUUAAAAUUAGUUAAAAUUUUAUAUAUUUUUAAAUGAUACAUGUUUACAUAAAAUAAAAUAAAACAAAAUAAAUUUGAAAUAUCAUAUAAAGAUAAUUUAUUUACUUUAAAUCCAUUUAUUAUUUUCCUUUACCUUUUAUUUUCCUAUAAUUUUUAUUUUUAUUUUUUGGAACCAAAUAUAACCUAAAAAAAAUGUCAAAAAGAAAAAUGAGAAACAAAUUUCAAGAGGCAUGGGAUAAAAAUUUAUUAUAUUUAACCCUAAUUUUCAUUUGUCUUCCUUUUAUUAUAUUUAAACCUAUUUUUCAUUGUCUCUUUUCAUUCUUUUCCUUCUACUUUCUUCCAAAAAUUUCAAAUUGGACGCCUAAGACAACUUGUAAUUUCAAUACUUUCCUUCCAUGUUUUUUUUUUUUAAAUCUUUAUCCUUUUGAUUUUUCAUUUUAAAAUAUAACUUUCCCAUCCUAAUGCAAUAAGAUCAACCAAGUUAACCUUGAUCCAAAGAGAUUAAAAGUAAAGUAAUAGGGAAUGAGCCCAUAAGAAGAGAAAAUUAUUAAAAAAGAAAAAAUAAAAAAGCCUUAAUAAUAUGUUCAAUUUUUGUUUAUCUCGGUAUGUUUGAAACUUCAGAAUAAGAAAUACGAACGAAAAAUUAAUUUCAUUUUCCAUAAGCUAUAACAUUUAGAUUAUUUAUUAGAAAUAAGAACAAGAAUAAAAACUUUAUUUUUAUAGAAAUAAAAUCAAAACCCCGCUCUUGUUAGAAAUUUGAUUUAUCUUUUUUAUAUAAUCAUGUGUUUAAUUAACUUGGUUCCUCUAUUUUAUAUAUUAAUGUUUAGGAAUGAGCAUUUUCAAAAUUAUUCUUCAAUAAUAAAAUUAUCAAAGCAUGUGGAACAAUAUUGAGGAUGCAUAUGUUUCAUCUAAGCAUAAAAUAAUAAUAAUUAAUAUGUGAAGAAAAAAAUAAUUAUUGGAAAAUAUGAUUAAGAGAGAAUUAAGACCUAUUUGAGAAUUGUUUUUUAGAAUAAUUUUUUGUUCUCCAAAACAAAAAAUAAAGAAGACACGCUUGAUAACAAAAAAAUAUUUUCUAUUUUCUAUUAUUAAAAAAAAAAUUGUUUUCAGAUAACAUCUUUUAAUUAUUUUAUGUUGUUUUCACUUGUUUUUUGAGAAUUAUUUUAAGAAAUAAUUAUACAAAUAUAGAAUAAUUAAAAAUAAAACACUAGAUAUAAAAAUUAUUUUUAAAACAUAUUUAAAAUAUUAAAAACAAGUUAAAAAUAUUUUAGGUUUUCAAAUAAACUUUUAUUUUACAAAAAUCAGAGAACAUUUUUCAAAAACUGUUCUUAAAAAUUAUUUUUUAGAAUUAUUUUCAAAAACAGUUACCUAAGAGGCCCUUAAUGUAAAAUGAAGGUAGCCUAAGUUGUAUAUGAAAUUUUAUUAGAUAUUGCAAAUUUAAUAUGCAAACAUUUGAUAUAAGUUCAUACACACAUAAGCAAGCAAAUAUAUCCAAAAUUCUAAUCUAAAAAAAUAAAUAAAUAAAAAGGAAAAACAAAAAUCUGAAGCAUUCAACAAAAAAUAAUAUAAUAAUAUAAAAUAUUUUUAUGAAGUUAUAAAGUUUAAGAAUAAAGUUGUAGAAAAUGAAAACAUCUAUGUCUAAGUAUAUAUAAUUUGUGCCAAGUAAAGAAGAAAUUUGAACUUUUAUAAGACUAAAGUUGUGUUCAUUGUUUCUUAUUGCACAAAGCAAUAAGAAUAUCUCAAGUUUUGAUAAAAAAUCUAAGAAACAAACAUUAUGUUUCCUUAAUUUAAGAUGCAUUUACUUAAUCUAAUUCACAUGAUGGUAAGCUUGGUUUAUAAUCUAAUCUUAAUUAAUCAACCACGAUGGAUGAAUGGCCCUUAUUGGAGUUGAUGAGAACAAUUAUGGCCUUUUCUUUAAAGUAUUUAAUCAAAGAGAUCAUCUUAUGUAUACCAAAAUCGCGUAAUAUGCAACCAACAAGGGAAGACAAAUUAUAAUUCCAAGGAUCACCCUGCAAAACAAAAAGAAAUUAAUUAAUUAUAAGAUUUUUAAUAUUUUUGCAUUAAUAUUAUGUUUUGUUGGUUAAUAAAAAUAAUUAACUUACGCAGUGCUAAUCACUUCUGUAUGCAAGCCAUAUUCCUUGACGAAGACGAAUGAAGCAAGUGAUUGUGGCAAUGCAGCCUAAAAACCAAAAGGGGAUAGAAGAGCAAAAACAUCUCAAUAUCAAUAACAAAUUUAUAUUAUUUCUUGAAAUGUAUAUAUAUAUAUAUAUAUAGAGAGAGAGAGAAUAAAAAGGGUGAAUUAUGGAAUCACCUUUGUGCUUUUACCCUUCCAAUUUAGUCUUUUAAAGCUUUUUUUUUUUUUUUUAUAAAUAAUUUCAACCCUAAACUAUAUCCAAAUAUCAAUUAAUUUCAUAUAUUAUUUGUACAGGAAAUAGAUGAAAAAACCCAUGAUUUAUGUACAUGAACAUUACAAUAUUAAACAAAACUUAUUUAUAUAAUGUUUGUGUUUGUUAUGAGUUUUAUUUCUUUCAUCAUUUUAGUUAUUUAUCAUUUAGCCAUAAGACACUAACAAUUAAGAAAAAAAAAAGGGGAAAAGGUUUAAAGGUUAAAUUAAAACAUAAGUUAAAUACAUAGAUAAUUUUUAUAAUUUAAUUUAAUGAAAAUAAACAAGUGUUUGUUUGGACACACUUUUUUCUUUGCUAUUUUUAAAAAUAGAAAAAUAGUAAAAAAAUUAUGUUUGAAUUAUAUAAAAUUUUUUAGAGGUUUACAUUAAAAAUAAAUGAUUUUUAAAAAUUGAUAUAUUAAAAUUUUGAAAUUUUCUAAAAGUUAAGGCAAGUGAAUACCUUUUGUAUCCGACAUUUUAUAUAGAAUUCUUUAUUUUAAAAAUAAAAAAUUUGGAAGGUUAUUAAAAUGAAGCCAAAAUAAAAACUUGCGUGAUUUAUUUUUACCUUUACAAGGUAAGAGAAAGGUCAAAAUUUCUUUGACUACAAUUGUUUGUUUCUCUAGAAUCUAUGCAUAAAAGAUUUUAAAAAUAAGGUAUUUGUAAAGGUUAUACGAAAAUAAAUUUCCAAGAAUAAGAUUCUAAUAUCACAUGAAAUUAUAGAUAAAUUCAAAAGCUUUAACUUAUUAGUUGAUAGUAAAAGACAUACACGUACUCUCUAAAAUUUAGACAAAUAGAUAACAGGUAUAUAUAUAAUAUUAUCUCUCAAAUAAUCAAGGCUUACCUAAAGAUUAUAACAUUAUAAAUUCCUAAGAAAUAAGAUUCGAAUAUAAUAUGAAAUUAUAGAUUAAUUCAAAAACUUUAAUUUGUUAGUUGUUAGUGAAGUACAAACACGUCAUCUCUAAAAUUAAGACAAGUCGAUAUCAAGUUUACCUACUAAUUAGGGACUCAAAUAAUCAUAACCAAUACCACAUUAACCUUCUAUUUGACUUAAAAGCUUAAACUAUUAGAUAAUAACCUUCUAUUUGACUUAAAAGCUUAAACAAUUAGAUAAUGAGCCCAUAACACAUGUCAAAUCGACUUAAGCUAAAACACUAACAACAUUAGUAGAAUUUCUUUUCAUCAUUCUACAAAAUGCCAAGGCACUAAGCACUCCAAAAAUGAAAAAGGAAACCUACUUUCAAUAAUGCACCGAUAGACAUGGUGUUUAUGAAAGAAAAACAUAUGCAUUAAGCUUUGAUCAAUGCUUUAAAUACCUGGAUUAUGGCGAUGCGCAAAACAUUGCCACGCAAGCCAAUUGCCAAGGCGACCACCCCCAUGGUCACCGGUGUAGCAAUGAACCUUAUAAUCAUCCCAAACGCAGUCAGAGUCGCUCCACAUGCCAUCACCUUUCCUUGCAUUGCCAUGAAGAACCCUGCAUAUAUUUCAAAACCCUAAUCAAACUAAGCCUAAGAAAGAAGAUUAAAGAUGCUUCCAUUCAUUACCAUCAUGUCUACAUGGAAUUUUAGAUCAUCUUCUUUGUUAGACGUAUAAAUAUGAAUUAGUAAGUGGCUUUUUAAGAUAAUUCAUAAUACAAAUUAUGUUAAUAGAAAGAGAACAAAGAAGAUCAAGUCAGAGCCCUAGGCUUUAAUAAAUUGAAAACUUGUUUGAAAGACAUACGAGAGUUAGAAGCACUUUUAAAUGCUUAAAAGGGUUUUUUAUUUCUCUAAAAAAAUAAAAUAUUAGAUAAAAUUUUAGGAUAUGUUUGAUAACUACUUUUGAAAAUAGUUUUAAAAAAUAAUUUUUGAAAAUAGUUUAAAAAACUAAUUUUUAAGAAUAGUUUUAAAAAAUUGUUUUUGGAUGUUUUAUAAUAAAAAAUAACUAAAAGAUAUCAUCCAAAAACACUACAUUUUUUGUUUUUAAGAACAAAAAAUAGGUUGCUAAACAUGUUUUCCUGGUCUUCUGUUACGACAAAUAGAAAACCGUUUUAGUCAAACAGACCCUUAAAAACCAUUUUUGAAAGAAUACCACUUAAAAUGAUAAUUGGAUUAAUACUUCAGCAAAGAGCUAUUUACAAAGACAUUAAACAUUGAAAAACGGCUGUAUAAUAAUUAUUCCCAAACAUUUGAUACUUCAAAUAAGAAUUUAAUCUUGUUCUAGAGUGGAUGAAUAUAUUAAGAAUAAGAAGUGGAAAUUAAGGAACAUUAAUAUUGAUCUCACCAAGACUAAACAUGGCAGUGGAUGUCCCAGCUCUUGACAUGAUUUGUACGGAUCCCUCCACAAUUUUUGGCAUUCCAAUAUGCCACCUACAAACAUUCACAACCAAAAACCCUAAUCUCAUUCACCAUGGAUGCAUCCUUCAACAUAAAUUGAAAAUGAGUCGAUAUCGAGAAUGAUUUUGAGGUAAUUCUAAAAAAACCCCUGCAAAAUUUGUAGAGAUGAACAUGUAGUGGUAUUACCGCUUUGAUAGAAAAGCCCAAAUGAGGCCAAGAACACAGGCAUAAAUGUUUGGGUUCUUCACGAGUUUCAGCAACGCGUUCCUCAUCAGUGGCCAGAAAGACGACGGCCCCGAGCUUUCCGACACCUCCGUCGUCCUAUGCCCUUCCAAAUCUUCCUCUGCAGCCCCCACCGGUGCAAUAUUAGAGUCCUCAGGAAUUGUUUUGUUUAAAGAAACGAAAGAUUUCCAGAACUCCAAGAGAAUCAAGAAGACGGUGCUAUAGAUAAUGACUUGGACGACGGAAGCCUGGAGGACGAGAUUGACCCCCGUCCGGCCAUACAUGGCCUCUAAAAUGGGCACCCCGAUAAAGAGAGAAUUAGUCAUUGUGCAGAGACUGAAGCAGGUGACGAACCAGCCAUAGCUGCCGGUUCUGCUACUGCACUUGCACCAGAGGCCAAGCGCAGCAACACAGAUGAACUUGCUCAUGAUAUCGGCCCCCAUGUACUUGUAAUUCAUGGAGAAAGGGUCGAUAUGGGAGGUGAAAUCAAAGCUGUAGAAUGGGAAAAUGAAGUAGCAGAUGAAGCGGUUGAUGGCGGCGCAUUGAUCGGAGCUGAACAUGUGCCACCACCUCACGGAGGCGUAGCCCAGCAGCAGUGCAACGUAGAGUGGUGCCAUGGCUUCCACCACCUUGUAAACAUCUCCCCAUUCAAUCAUCUUUCUUUCUAGUCCAUGUAAUGUCAACAACAACCCUUGCAAAGAUCUUGAUCUUCUAGCCUCUUCUAAUGUCUAGGGUUUCAAUCUGCAGUCUAAAAAAUUGGAAAACUUGUAGCUAAUCAACUCAUGAACAAGGGUUAGGGUUAGGGUCAGGGGAUUGAUGCAUGGGCAUGCAGGGAUAAAAGCGUAGUUCUUGAGGUUUUUCUCAUAAAGAACAGAGGGAAAUUGGUAAGGAUUUGCUACUGUAGAGAGAGGGUGUAUCUGUCAUAAGAAGCAAACCUAAGAAUUUGCCCUACUGCAUCGCUUUAAAUAGCAUAAACUACACUGAUAAAAUAUUAUUUUAUUUUUAUUUUUUUUAAAACAACUAUUACUUGACAAGUGGAAAAUUUGUAAAAUUCAUAUUUUUUUUUUUAAAAAAGAAUCAUAUUUGACCUCUUCAUAUAUAUUUUCAAAUUUUGAAAUUGAGCCACAAGUAUUUUGAAUUGGACCUAUUCUAUUGCCUUUGCGUUAGGACAACAAAGAUUCUUACCCAUUAACUACACAGUAUUUUUUUUAAGGAAAAAAAAAAAAAGUAGAUUUUUUUUUUCCUAUAAGUUUUGAAGGAAUUUUGGCCCAUUUUGCCCAAAAAAUAAAUAAGAAAAAGGUGGAUUCAGUUCUUGAAGAACCGGCCGGUUCACCAAUUGAACCGCCUAGGCUAGAUAGGAGGGUCAAAUGGGUGAAUCGAAUCAAAAAGGCCGUCGAUCAACGGUCCGAUUGGCCGGUUCGGUUUUUAAAACAUAGGUAUGUAAAAGGCCCAAGAUUUUUCACAUGUUAAAUUGCUUGCAUGGGCAUUUAGGUAAGAGUGGACACGUGGCAAUUCUUCAUCUCCGCCAAAAGCAGCUUGAAAAAACACAAAAAUUAAAGAGUAUAAAUUGAAGUUAAUUACACAUGGUAUUUUUUAAGAACUCUUGCGACCGCCCAAAUUAAAGUAUAGGGGUAAAAUCAUAAUUUUAAAAAUAAAUUAAUUAAUUAAAAGAUGGUGGAAACGUUCAACAUUAAAAUAUUAGAUUAAUGAAUUCAUUAUAUAGAAAUCUUUUUAGAUAAAGAUCAAAUAAAUUAGAGAACGUAGGGUUGAAGUUUUGGGAGCUUAGGGUUUGGAAUCAGUUUUGUUAAAUAAAAUAUUAACUUUAAAUUAGUAUUUUAGUUUGUUAAAGAGUUUUUAAUAAUUUAAAUAUUCUGUUGGAAAAAUCUAAAUAUAAAUUAGGGUUUGAUUUAUUUGUUUUUAUAUAAAAAAAAAUAGAAAUAUGUGAAUAUAGAUUGAUUAUUGAUGAAGAUAGGAAAAUUCUAAAUAUUCAAAUAAAUAGAUGUAAACAAUAUAAAUAAAUAAAUAUGAGAAAAGAAAUUAUGAAUCUUAGAUUUGGAUUGCUACAAUGCCUAGUGUUUGAAUGGGAUUCCCACUUGCAUAGGAUGGUUGUUGGUUUUAUGGAUGAAAAAAUUUUGGCCUUUGAUUUUUCGGUCCAGUCAACGCAAUUAGCGGGUGCUGGGUAGAGAUGGCAACAAGGCGGGUUCGACGGGUCGUCACUAUUCUAACCCUACUCCAUUUAUUCAAAAUAAUUAUCAUCCCCGUCCCAUUUAAAAAAUUAAAUGGAAUGGAGCGGGUAUGAUAAAUUCUCAUGCCCGUCCCGUCCCGUCCUGUUUAACUUUUUUUUUUUUAAUUUUAUUUAUUUAUUUUAAAAAAAUUACUUUAAAACUUUUUAAUUACAUUAAAAUAAAUAUAUUUUAUAAGUAAUUAAAUUAUUAUAUUUUUAUAACUUAUUUUAUUAAAAAUAUUUUAUUAUUAUCUAUAAAUUAAAAAUAGUAAAAUAAAAAUUAAAUUAAAUUAUUUUUAAAAUUUAAAUUAAAUUAAUUUUAUAUAUAAUCGGGGUGGGUUUAGGGUAACCCGCCCCGAACCCCUGGGUUUUAAAAAAAAUUCUCAAACCCAUUUAUUAAAAUUGAAUCCCGUCCCAUUGUCAUCCCUAGUGUUGAGGCUCAAAUCCGCCCAAACCCAAAAACAAGUAUAGAGUUUACCUUGGGUGAACGUUAAACUAACGACUUAUUUGAUAAAUAAUAUGCACUAGACAAACACAUGGUAAAACUAUAAAAAAUAUUUUCAUAAAUAAAUUAAUUUUAAUUAUUUUAUUUUAAAAUUUCAUUUAAUUAGUUACUAAAAAUAUAAAAUCUAUCAUUAUAAUUUUCUUCACAGUUUUUUAUAUCAUUUAUAUAUUAAUUAAAUAUAAAAAUAUAAAUAUUAAAAAAAUUAUACAUAUAUCAUAAUUUAUUUUAUAUCAUUUAAUACUAUUGAAAUUAAAUGAAUUAUAAUUUUAAAGUGAGAUAUAUUAUAAUCAAAUAUCAUAAUAUUAUUGUCAAAUAAUAUUUGAUGUAAUUUAAUAAAUUUAUAAAAUUCAUUUUUUUUAUGGACGUAUACAAUAUUAUUAUCAAAUAUGAUUAAUUAUAUCAUAUACAUAUAUUAUCUUUUUUUAUACAAUAAUUUUAAAAUGUCAAAUAUUGUUUAUUAUAUCAUUUUUAGAGUUUUUCUCAAUACCCAAAUUUUUUUUUCCAAAAUAUCUGUCGAUAUUUUCAUCAAUGGUUGGUUUAAGUUUAAAUGAGGAGAAAAAUGAAAUUUUAAUAAUAAAAAAAUAGUUUAGUUCAAAUAUUAAGAGGAUUUUAGAAAGUUUUAGUUUAAGGAAAAACAAAAAAUGACAGAUUGUUGGAAUUGGAUUAAAAGCAAGAGUUUUAAAUUAAUGUUGGUAAUUAAGAAUAUUAAUGUUAAUAUAAAAUAUUAUUUAAGAUUAUCAAUUAAUAAUUUUAGAUAAAUAGUUACUAAUAAUAGUUAUUGUUUUUUUAUGUUAUGUUAUGUUAAGUGAGAAUUAGAUUCUUUAAGUUUAAAUUCAUUAUGAUUCUGAGCGUUUUUUUUUUGAGAAAAUAAUAUAAAUUUUAUAAAAGAAAGUAUUUCCUUUUUAUACGUUAUUUUCAAUUAUGUAAAAUAUUGUCAUUGUUUCUCUUUAUGCUUCUGACAAUUUUAUUUUAUUUUAUUUUAUGAAAAAUAGUUAAAACAUUUUUUUAGUUAUAACAAAAAAUAGGGAAAUAUUAUGUUUUGGUAAGCUUCAACAAAUGAAAUAAAGUGUUUGACUUGAUUUGUUUCACUUUAGUUAAGGAGAUACAAUUAUCGACCUUUUUUUCUUAGUUAAUGAGUUAUAAUUGUUGACUUUUUUAACCAUAUUCAACAAGUUAUAAUUGUUGAUAUUUUUUGUAAUAGUCAUCGGGUUAAAAUUGUUGACUUUUUUUACUAAAAUUAAUGGGUUAUAAUUAUUAACUUUUUAAUCUUAGUUAAUGUGAUAUAAUUGUUGAACCUUUACAUAUCUUGAUAGGAAAUUUAAUUACUUUGAACCUCAAUAUUUAAUGGUUUUGUUAUAGGUUACUAGUACUAAUAGUAUUUGAUCUUAUCUACUUUAAAAUGAAUAAAUUUGAAAUUAGUCACCCAUAUGUAAAAUUCCACCUAAUUGAAUAUUAUUUGUUAUUUGAUAAUCAGACUAAAAAAAAAAAAAAGUUUUGAAUGCAUUUAAAUUGGAUUUGAUAUAAAAUUAUUAUUGACAUAAAUAUGAAAAUGUUUGUUUAAAAGUUUUGAAUAAUUUAAGAUGUUUGAACUUAAAGUUUGUAUGAAAAAAAAUUGUACAUGGUCUAUCUUAUAAUUGAAAAUAUAUGAUCCAUUAAAUUGUAUUAAUAUUUUUUAUUGGGUUUUGAUCUCAUUUCCUUUUAUGGUCAAGUUUUUAGAUACUCUCAAUUGAGGCGAUGAGUGAUGAUUAUUAUAAAAAUUUGUCCUUGGAAUUUUUGAGUUUAUACUUUAAACUUGUGACAUUAGUUAAAUGUUAGAAUUUAAUUACCAUUUAAAUUAUUUAAAUUUGAAUUGUUUGGAUAUUAUCAUAGUGGUUGAUGUGUUAGCUUCUUUUUGAAGUUAAAUUUUGAGGAAUUUAGUGUAUUUUACCAAUCUUCACAAGAAUUUGAUAAUUGACAACCUUCUAAUUAUAAGAUGAAUCUUCAAAGUUAAGGUGUAAAAUGACCAUCACACCCUUAAAAUGGGUCUUAGAAAAAAAAAAAAAAGAACAUGUUUGAUAAUAUUUUAGAAUAAAAAGUAAAUAUUUCCUGAAAUGAAAUAAAUAAAUAAUAAAUAAUAAAUUAUUUUUAUACAUUACUUCAAACUUAUUUUAUUUAUUUUAACUUUCAUAUAUAAAAAUUAUAUAAUUUAAAAAUAUAUAAAUUUUAACUAGUUUUAAUUACAUUUAUUUAUUUAUAAAUUUUAUAUAAUAAGAUCAUACAAGAAAAAAAAAAAAUCAUUUUCUUCAAUGUUUUCGAAAAAAAAAAUUAUUUAUGAUCUAUGUAAGUUUGAAAUGAUGAUAAUAAUCUCAAAAUGGUAACACCUGAGUAAGUAAAUUGUUCUCCCAAAUUUUGUGUUAAUUUAAUAUAAACCAUAUCAACAUUCGUGAUACCCAUGUCUCAAAAGAAAUCCAAUUAUGAAAAUGAGUAAGAAUUCAUUUAAUAAUGAUUUUAGAAAACGCUUUUAAUAUUUUUAAUACUUAAAAUUUUUUAUCAUUUAAAUAUUAGAAAUGUUAAAAGUGUUUUUUAAAAUUAAUACUAAAAGAAUUCUUAAAAGUCCGUUUGACAAUAAUUUUAGGAAACGUUUUUUUAAUAUUUUUAAUACUUAAAAAAUUUUAUCAUUCAAAUAUUAAAAAGAUUGAAAAUAUUUUCUAGAAUUAUUGUAAAACGCACUCUGAUAUAUAUUUUAUUAUCCUUUUUCUUAAUAGGACACGAACCCGACACAAAUCGACCCAAAUUUAGCACCUCAUUUCUUUUACUGACUUGAAUGUAUAAGAAAGAAGAAUAUAAAUAUAAUUUAUGAUACCAAGAGUAGUGAAUAUGAGUUCAAAAUCUCCAACAUGAAUGCAGCUAAAAAAAACUCAAUAGAACUGAAAAUGCACUCCUCCAUUCUUAAGCUGGUUCUCAUUCUGGAUACUGCUUGCACCUCGUUGAAAUCUCGAGUAGGCUGGCUUAGAGGGGUCUUAAGCACCGCAUAUCACAGAAAUUUUUGCAACUUGUUGAACUCUCGAGUAGACUGACUUAGAGGGUCCUAAGCACCGUACAUCACAAAAAAAUAAUGAUAAAAUUUGUGGGAGUGACAAAAACCAACUUCCUCAAUACCUCCAAGAUUCGGGUCGAGAUAUGAAAAGAAGAAGAAUUGGCUGAAUAAUUAUUAUUGAUGUUGAAGUGUGUAUUUAUACAAGGAGAUUUGAGAUCUUUUUCUACAAGUCAGGAAUCAGCUUACCAUAUUCUAGACUAUCCAUCUAUAAGUCAGGAAUUACAAUAGGAAAACUAACAUAUACAAAUCAUCUAUUCUUAAUAUGGAAGAUUUAGAAAGAUUGACUUUCCAACACUCCCCCUCAAGUUGGAGAGUGGAUAUCCUGCACUCCCAACUUGCGAAUCAUAGGAGCAAAAAACUCAUUUCCUAAUGGUUUAGUCAAAAUGUCUGCAAGUUGGUGCGCUGAGCUCACAUGUCUUGUAAUAAUGGAACCAUCUUGGAUCUUGUCCCUAAUAUAGUGACAAUCCAUCUCAAUGUGUCUAGUACGCUCAUGGAAAACAGGGUUGGCUGCAAUGUGCAACGUUGCCUUGUUGUCACAAUACAGCAAGGCAGGUUCCUUAUGUAAAACACCCAAAUCUUUCAAAAGGUACCAAAGCCAUGUCAACUCACAACAAGCUCCUGUCAUUGCACGAUACUCUGCUUCGGCUGAAGAGAGUGACACUGUUUUCUGUCGCUUUGAUCUCCAAGAAAUCAGUGAAGGUCCAAGGAAUACACAGUAGCCUGUAGUGGACCUUCUAGUAAGUGGACAACCUGCCCAAUCAGAAUCACAAUAGGCUCUCAAUCUGAAAUCAUUAUUCGAAGAGAAGAACAGACCCUGACCAGGUGCAUUCUUGAGAUAACGUACAACUCUGAACGCUGCUUCCAUAUGAGCCUUUCUCGGUUGAUGCAUAAACCGGCUUAACACAUGAACUGCAUAAGUGAUAUCUGGCCUCGACACAGUUAGAUAUAUUAACCUUCCAACCAAUCUCCUAUAACGACCUUGAUCCUUGAGCAAAUCGCUCUUAUCAGACAAUUUCAAUCCUCGUUCCAUAGGUGUAUCAAUAGGGGCAGCGCCCAACAAUCCUGCAUCCUCAAUAAUCUCUAAUGCAUACUUACGUUGGGAAAUAAAAAUCCCAUUUUUAGAAGCAGAAACCUCAAUGCCAAGAAAGUAUUUUAAAUCACCCAGAUCUUUGAGAUGAAAAUGACUAUGCAGAAAAUUUUUUGUUGUAGCAAUGCUCACAGGAUCAUUUCCAGUAAUCAGAAUAUCAUCAACAUAUAUCAAGAGGGCAGUAAAGGACUUGCCUUGUUUUCUGGUGAACAAAGAAUAAUCGGCUCGAGAUUGUGCAUAACCAGCGGAUUGAAUAGCUUCUGAGAACUUGGCGAACCACUGGCGAGAAGCUUGUUUCAGACCGUAGAGUGAUUUAUGAAGGCGACAUACCAAGUUUUCCUCCCCCUGUCGCCGAAGCCCUAGCGGCGGAGACAUAUAUAUUUCCUCAUGUAAGUCGCCAUGAAGAAAAGCGUUGUUAACAUCCAUUUGAUGAAUAGACCAGCCACGGGCUGCGGCCAAUGCAAGCAAGCAGCGGACAGAUAUGAUCUUGGCGGUGGGGGAAAAGGUAUCCUGAUAAUCAACACCUUCUAAUUGAGUAAAGCCUUUCGCUACCAAUCGUGCUUUGUAACGCUCAAUAGACCCAUCUGAACGGUGUUUAAUUUUAUACACCCAUCGACAACCAAUCGGUGUCUUGCCGGCCGGUAGUGGAGUGAGAGACCAAGUGCCAUUAGCUUGGAGAGCUUGCAACUCAGAACACAUUGCCUUCUGCCACUCAGGAUGAGCGGCUGCUUCUGAAUAAGACCUGGGUUCUGUGACAGCACUAUGUUGAGCAACAAAAGAUCUAUAUGCAGGCUUAUAUCUGUGAUAAGAAACAUAAUUGGCCAGUGGAUAUCGUGUACCUUUAGUUGGACCUGGAAUCAAGGAAGACGAUUGAUUGGAGGAAACGUGGGAGCAAACAUAAUCAUGGAGCUUGAUUGGCGGGGCGAUAUGGCGGCUGGAGCAACGGAGCGGAGUGGCUGGUUUGGGUGAGUGUGUUUCUGGUGAAAAGAUGGGUGUCUCAGCUGGAGGAGCGGACGGGAUGGAUGCAAACGGUGGCCCCGGAGAAGGCGAUACUAGAGUUGUAGAAGGCGAUGGUGAAGGGUUUGGAUCAAUCUGAGAAGAAGGUUCCAUAAUGAGUUCGGAAGGUCGAGAAGGAGAGGAAAAGUCAUCAUUUUCUGUGGCGGGAGACGGUGUGCUUGUGUGGUUGGAAAGAAGAGGGGAAAGUGCGUGAGAAGUAGAGUCAAAUGAGGAAGAGAUGUCGUGGGCCACCAAGGGGAUUGGACCAGAAUUAUGGGUCAACGAAGGGAGAGUAGAGUUGGGCUUGAGAGAGACAUAAGGAAAAAUAUCUUCAUGAAAUUUGACAUCUCGGCUAGUAAAGACCUUUUUUGUUGAUAAAUCAAAUAAUUUGUAUGCUUUCUGACCAACAGGAUAACCGAUGAAGAUGGAUGGCAUGGCACGGUAAUCAAAUUUGUGAGAGGUGUGAACAUUGGUGGCAUAGGCUAAACAUCCGAAAACACGGAGAUGGGAGUAAGAAGGUGGUUUUGAGUAAAGCAAUUCAAAAGGAGUUUUGAAAGACAAUAUUGGUGAAGGUAACCGAUUGAUGAUAUGUACGGCAGUGAGAGCACACUCCCCCCAAAAUUGAGUGGGAACUUGAGCAUGGAAUUUCAAAGCUCGGGCUACUUGUAAAAUAUGACGAUGUUUGCGUUCCACAACCCCAUUUUGUUGAGGCGUGUAAACACAAGAAUGUUGAAAGAUGACACCAUUAUCUUGGAAAAAGGAACGAAGUGAGGUAAAUUCUUUACCAUUGUCACUUCGAAAAGUUUUAAUGCGAAAUUCAAAUUGUGUGAACACAUAGCUGAAGAAACGUUUUAAAAGUGAUUGUGCUUCAUCUUUAUGUCGCAUUAAAAAUAUCCAAGUGAAACGUGUAUAAUCAUCGACAAUAGUGAGAAAGUAAUGGGCACCAAACAGAGAAGGGUGUCGAUAACGUCCCCAAAUGUCACAAUGAAUAAUCUCAAAAGGUUUUGUAGAAGAAAUAGCACUAGUACCAAAAGGUAAACGACUUUGCUUAGCCAAAGGACAUAUAGGGCAAGCAUUAUUGGACUGAACAGAAAAAUUCAAAAAAUUCUUGGCAAUGAAACUCAAACGAGAAGGUGAUACAUGGCCUAAGCAACUGUGCCAGAGAUCAGUGGAAGAGAUGGCGAGAUUGCAGGCUGGUUGGUUUGUGGAUGAGGAAUGGUUGGUUAGAGAUUUCUCCGUCGCUAGUGCCACCAAAUAGUAUAGUCCAUCACGUUGUUUACCCAAACCAAUCGUCCUCCUCGUAGCCAGAUCCUGCAAAAUACACCAAUAAGGGAAAAACGUCACUGAACAAUUUAGACCUUUUGUCAAACGACUAACUGAUAUUAAAUCAACUUUGAAUGUAGGCACAGAUAAGACAUCAUGCAGAUAAUAGACGGAAUUCAGAGGCAAAGUCCCUUUCGUAACGAUAUUCGCUUUUUCUCCACUAGGCAAUAAUACGGGCGGUAACAAGCAAUUUUUAUCUUUAUGCAAUAACUUAGAGGAUGAAGUAAUAUGAUCUGUCGCCCCACUAUCAAUAAUCCAAUUGCGGGAAGCGACUUUGGACAAACCUGGCUUUGUUACCGCAUUCACUUUGGAACUAGAGUUUUCAUCUUGGUUAUUAAGAAGUGACAAAAGUUGCUUGAGUUGGGCUUCUGACAAUGCAACUGCAGGUUUCCCUUCAUCUGCCUCAGAAACUUGGUUAGCCGCAGAAAAACUUUUAUUCCGAUUUGAGUUUAGCCUAAGUUCAUUCUUGCUUUUGGAUGGUCUGGUGGGUAUCCAUGUAGUUGAAAACACUUUUGGACCCAAUGACCCAUAUCUCCACAAUACGAGCACUGGGGGUGUCCUCUACCAGAACCCAUGCGGCGCCGAUCUUGAUCAAAAAAUGGUCUGCCAUCUUGUCCUUGAGAAGACCGAUUCUCCCGGAAAUUUUGAGAACCAGAGGGGCGAUUAGUCGGUUCCAUCCUUCUUGUGUUCGAUCGAUCUAUUCCGUCCUUCCAGGUUGCCGAAGACUUGUCGUUGCUGCGCACGGCCAUAGCAGCACUUGCGGCAGAUUCCGCUGCUGCGUUCGUCGAAGUGAGGAGGCGUUGCUUUUCUUCUUGAGAGACAGAGAAGUAUGCUUGGCGGACAGAAGGAAGAGGAUUCAUCAGGAGGAUUUGCCCGCGAAUAGCACUGUAAGAUUCAUUCAAACCCAUCAGAAAUUGCAUCAAUUUUUGUUGAUCUUGUUGUGCCCCAUGUGCUGCAGCGUUGUAGGAAGCCAGUUCAUCCCACAGGCCUUUCAAUUUUGUGUAAUAGGCAGAGACAGAGAGUUGCUCUUGUCGAAGACAAGCAAUAUCUCGCUGAAUUUCAAAGAUGCGAGGCGCAUUGCUCUGAGAGAAUCGCUCACAGAGAUCUUCCCAAACUUCAUGAGCAGUAGAAUAAUAGAUUACACUGUCCGCAAUUUCUGGAUUGAGAGUAUUGACGAUCCAGGAGUGAACCAUGUCGUUACACCGUGACCAAGUCGCAUAACCUUCAGGAUCAAUUUCUUCUGAAGGAGCCUUGAUCGAGCCAUUAACAAAACCCAAUUUGUUCUUAGAGUUUAAAGCUAGAAUCAUAGCCCUUUUCCAAGCCGAAUAAUUGUCUCCAUUCAAAGAUUUGGAAAUCAAAACCAAACCUGGGUGAUCUGAAUGGUGAGUGAAAUAGGGAUUGGAGAGAUCUGCCUUUGAGAAAUUCGUAGGAAUCUCUGAUUUUGCCAUGAUGAUUGAAGAAAAGAGAUGCUACACGAGAGAUUAGAGUGCAACAAUGAAUCAGGAUUUUAGUCCUGCUCUGAUACCAUGAAAAGAAGAAGAAUUGGCUGAAUAAUUAUUAUUGAUGUUGAAGUGUGUAUUUAUACAAGGAGAUUUGAGAUCUUUUUCUACAAGUCAGGAAUCAGCUUACCAUAUUCUAGACUAUCCAUCUAUAAGUCAGGAAUUACAAUAGGAAAACUAACAUAUACAAAUCAUCUAUUCUUAAUAUGGAAGAUUUAGAAAGAUUGACUUUCCAACAAGAUACAUUACCUUUUUUCUUUCCAUUCUGCAACUAUCAGAAUGCAAGCUGCUCAUGGUUGAAGUCUAGAGUAGGCUGACUUAGAAGGGUCCUAAGCACCUCACAUCACAAAAAAUUAAUGACAAAUUUUGUGGAAGUGACAAUAACCAACUUCUCAAAACCUACGGUUUGGGGUUGAGAUACAUCACCUUUUUUCUUGCCAUUCUGCAACUAUAAGAAUGCAAGCUGCUCAUGGUUGAAGGCCAACACAGAAGAGAGGGAUCCUAAGCACUGCACAUCACAAAAAUUUUUUGCACCUUGUUGAAAUCUCAAGUAGGCUGACUUAGAGGGGUUCUACCCGCCACACAUCACAAAAAAUUAAUGACAAAUUUUGUGGGAGUGACCAUAACCAAGUUCCUCAAAACCUCCAAGGUUCAGUUCAAGAUAUAUUACCUCUUUUCUUGCCAUUCUACAACUAUAAGAAUGCAAGCUGCUCAUGGUUGAAGGCCAACACAGGAGACGGAUCCUAAGCGCUGCACAUCACAAAAACUUUUUGCACCUUGUUGAAAUCUCAAGUAGGCUGACUUAGAGGGGUUCUAAGCCCCACACACCACAAAAAAUUAAUGACAAAUUUUGUGGGAGUGACUGUAACCAACUUCCUCAAAACCUCCAAGGUUUGGGUCAAGACACAUUACCUUUUUUCUUGCCAUUCUGCUACUAUAAGAAUGCAAGCUGCUCAUGGUUGAAGACCAACACAGAAGGGCAACCCUGCAGAGCGGUAGAGAGCAUCACAGAAGAUAUUAGUAGUUUCAGACAUUCAAAAUCAGAAAACUCAGAGUUCAGCAGCAUUCAUACCUCUAAAACAGAAUCAAAUGCUAAUUAGAGUUUGUUAAGCUACCAACUUGCAUAAAAGCUUGAGCUAUUUGGAUAAUGAGCCUACAAUACAUCAGCCAUGAAAUCUUUAGUUGACCAACAAGAGCUCUGCUACCAUUUUAAGCUACCAAUGUCUAUGAAAGAAAGAACUAUCUGAUACAUGUGAGAACUAGGAAAGUCUAGUUUGUUACAGAUGCCAGUGUGCAGUGUGUGUGGGAAAUUCUUAAAAUGCUUUAAAUUUGAAAAGAACAAGCAAACAAGGGAAAAGAAGAGAAAAAGAUACCAAUUGAUCAUAAAAGAACCAAAUUGCAGAGGAGUAGCAGAGUUUGCUCCCAUUAUGACUUAGAUGCAAAAGAAAAGAACUUUAAGUUGGAAAAUUUCCCAUGAUCUAGUGAUAUAUUGUUGAUGAUGAACAUGAUGUAGUUGCAUCACCAAUGUCAUCCUUCUUCUCCUCUUUAGGAUGGAGGAACCUCAUAUCGUUCUCCUGAAGCUGCUGCCCCACGAAAUAUGGCUCAACUUGACCAAUCGGGUUUCCAUGACUGUUGAAGUCAAAGCCAGGCAGACCCAGAUUUGCAGGUGGGGGGAGAUUCAAUGGCAAUGAAAUUGGGAAAUCUGGGGCUACUGGAGCAACUGAACCAGGUUGGUGGGGAUCAGCAUUAUUAGAAUCCAGUCCAAAAGGAGCAUAAAGCAUGGUAUUUUGCAGGGGAGGGAACUGCAUUGAAUAAAGGGAGGAAGGACCAAAUUUCAUAUCAUUAGCAAAGUUCCCAAGCAUACUGUGCCUUAUAUACUGAUUGCUGAAUUCAGGUUUUAUGUCAAAGUGGGGGACAAGAUCUUGAAGUAGUGCUUCUGGCCUUGGGGCAUUAGCAUUCCUGUGCAAAGCCAGUGCUGAUUGAGCACCAGGAGCAGCUGAAGGCAAAUUUCCACCACUUGAAUUCACAUGACUGCUGUUUCUGGCUGCAGGCACUUCAUGAUUGUGUUUUCCUUCAUAUGUCGCAAUUAUGGAUUUCUGAUUGUUGGAAGCUCUUUCCACAUGCCUCCUCACUGAGCAUCCAGUGCUUGUGCACUUGUAGUAAUUCCUGAAGGAAUGAAAAGUUUAGGGAACCAAUAUUUUCAAUACAUGCUGUUGAACAGCAUGAAUUACUCAUCUUGCCAAUUUAAAAAAUUACUAAGCUGAACUUUGAUGCACUCAUAAAAAUAAGGACUAUAGCAUAUGAAUUUUGUGACCUAAAAAAUACCACGGCUUAUUAAAAGAAAUACUUUGAAUCAUUCUAAGUAACAUUUAUCCUUCAUAUCAUAUAUUGAUUCAUCAACAUUCAAAUAGGAGUUCCUGCCAUAACCCACACUGAUUGCUUUCUUUAUUUGCAUCUGUUUUUUUAAUAAAUUAAUUUAUUCUUCUUUUUCUCCGUCUUCUUUUAUUUUUAUUUUGUAUUUUAUAUAUAUAUAUAUUUGGGAAACAUAAAAAAUACAGUACAAAGGAAACAAAAGAAAACCAGUACCUAGGAUGCAGAUUGCCUUUGACGACUUUUUGUCCAUACUUUCGCCAGCGAUAUCCAUCAUUAAGGACGUCCGAUUCACACUCUACUUGGACAACAACCCUUGGUUCACGUACAGUCCUGGAUGCCAAAUUUUUUUCAGUCAUACAAUUCUCUUUCUUCCUGAAAUGACAAGGCAACUUAAGAGAUGUCUUAUGUAGUUUAUCGUGACCUGAAACUAAACACCAGCUAUAAAAAUAAUGAUAAUAGGUAAAAAAAUAAAACUCUGAAGACACCUUUUUUUUGACUGAGAACCUUCAUCAUCAGCAUCAUCUCCAAGUGAUAUGCUUCCUUGAGUAGCCCCAUCUUCACCAUCAUCUUGACUAGCAACUGUUAAGGAAAGAUCUGGGGUUCCUGCUGAUUCAAAUAUACCCAUGGAUAUUCCUCCUGUGUUUGAUAAGGAGUUGGAGAGCGCACUUACAGCAGAUGUUGAGGAUGUCCUCUCCAAACCAUUGGCCCUCCAAUCAGAACCAGCUCUAUCAUUCUUAGAUCCUGGUUGAACGUUUCUCCAAAUUGAGCCACCUUCAACUCUGACACUAGAUCCACCACCUUCCCCCAAACCUGACAUCUCAUUAAAUGGAAGUGUGGAUCCAAGAGCUGAUCGACGACUAGGCAGUGGUUUUGGGUGGUUAUGACCACCCUUAUAGAUAAUUUCUGUUAUUUGACCAUCAUGUGAUUGUUGUACCUUUUUUCUCAUUGGACAAUCUAGAUGAGUACAUUUAUAAUAGCUCCUUGUAUGUUCACUACCUUUCAUACUUUUUUGCCCAUAUUUUCUCCAAUUGUAUCCAUCUUCUGAAGUUCUUCCCAUUCCCAUGGAAGGGUAUGUGCCUUUCUGUUCUUCUGGAAUGUGAUGCAUCCCUACAUUCUCACUGUGGAUAGGCUCCUUGUGCUGAGACAUGUGAUCACUAGGUAUAUCAGAAAUCAUAGUGUUUGAAACUUUUACAUCAGUGGCAGAAUCAAACACAUAGUUUUUAGCAGAAGCUUCUGUAGAGAAUUCUGUGGCAAAUUCGAAACCCACUGGUGAAUGUGUUGGAGCACAAGUUUGAUAGUGAACUUCAGCCCCAAAACUUUGAGCAAGAUCGGAAGGGGAAGAAACCUAAUCAAACCAUAAAUGCCACACAUUUAGAUUUCACUCAAAUAUGUCUAAUUUAUGUGCAUGGCCUGGAAACAAAGACAUUGCACUGCAGCAUGAAUGUAUUCAUUUAAGCAUGUGAUUUAUGGAACAUAUGCAGUUCGGCAUCUACGUGUAAGAAUGACUUUGCAUAGAAGAACAAAACAGGGUAGCCUUAAAUAAUGUUAGGCAAAAUGUUGGCCGUACAAUAAACAACAUAAUGUGUAACCUCAGAAAUUAAUAUGCACCACAAGUUAAUCUAAUAAAAAAACAAGUAAUUAUCUCAGGCUCCAUAACAUUAAUUCAUAAUGCACACUUUUGGAAAAUGUGAAAAGCAUAAAGAUGGAUAUAUGUCUGAUUGUAUGCUCAACAUGCUGGACUUGAUAGGAGAAUAGUCCGCUAAACUAACUUACAUGUGAUGCCUUGAGUAAAUUCUGUACUUGAGUAACACUAUAUAGGAAGUAAUACCUUGUCUUUAAAAGAAGACACACUUUCCCUUAUUGGUGUACGGUAAAUGUGAUUAAAAUUUAGAAUGAGAUUUGGUACCUGAUUCCUUAAUCUCUACUAUCACAUCAGUUUUAUCAGAAUAUUCAUUUAAGCAUUUUGGUUGAUACACCCACUUGAGUCUAAUAUCAUAUUCAAUGAAUUUUUCUCUAAUCAACAGUGACUAGUGAGCAAUAGCACAAGAGAACCCUCUAUCACAAAGUAAAGUCAGUGUGGUGAUUUGUGUAAGGCACAACAAAGGCACAUGCUAUUGUAUGACAAGGAUUAUAAGAAGUUCCUGAAUAUGAAGAAAGGUAGUGCUCUUUUCCUGAUAGGCAAAAAGAAUAAUAUGUAUUAAAAGAGCCUACAAAAGCACACACCGAAGUAUAUAUGAAGUACACAACAAGUGCCAUCAGGCAAGCAGAAAGGAAGAGAAAACCAAAAACAACCCCCCUUUACCUACUUUGAACUCUACCAAUCUACAAAGCCUACCAUGCUCAAGGAAUUGUCACCUAUGUGAACAGUCUAAUCCAAUCCAAAAAGGCACACCUAGAGGAAGAUUUGAUUGUUUGAUCCAACUAUUCAGUAUCUUUGAAUGACUUCCUAUUUCCUUCCAUUCACAACAUCCAAAAAAGACGCAAAAGAACUUCAUUCGCACAAAAUAAUCAUGUCAGCUCUGAAGGUUUCCUAUUACUCAAGAAUGCAUUACCUAGGCUAUUCCAAAAAGAGAAAAAAUUCAGCUGUUAUAGAAUUCUUGCUUUGGGACUAUGAAGAAGCAUAUGAUCAAUUGACUCCUCUUCCCCUUUCCACUUGUAGCAUCUAUUUGGUAGAGUCCAUCCCCUCCUUUUGAGUUGAUCAAACGUUAAAAUCCUUUCCCAUACAGCUUUCCAAGCAAAGAAACUCACCUUUGUAAGGUUCCAAGGGUCCACACCAUGCAUGUAGGGAAAGACCCACUUCUUUCCUAAAAGAGGCAUGGAAAGGUUUGUAAGAGAAUUUCCCACACUCAGAUUCCUUAUAAUUCAGUCUAUCUUCUUCAUCCCUUCUAAUUGAGGUCAAUUGCAGCCUUGAAUCAAAGGCUUCAUUUGCAAUGAGGAUUACAUCCAAAAUUUGUCUACCCUCCACAAAAGCAUGUUUGUAAGACGAAACCACCUUACCUACCACUUUCUUUACUCCAUUAGUCAAGACAUCUGCUAACCUUUGUAUAGGACCCCAUCUAGGCUAAUGAGUUUGAGAUUUUUCAAGUCCUCAGCUACCCCUCCUCUUUGGAAUCAAAACCAAGAGAGUAGCAUCUAAGCUUCUCUUGAAGGAGCCAUUAUGAAAAAACUCUAAAGAAGUCCGUCACCUCAAGUUUUACAAAGUUCCAACCCAUUUAUUAAAUACCAUAGUGAAACCAUUUGGCCUGAAGCUGUAUCUUCACUCAAACUGGACGAGGCUGCUAGAACUUCCUCCUCAGAGAAAGGAACAUUUGGUUUCCCAGAUUCGUCACUUCUUAACUUUUCAAAGGACAUCCCACUGAUGUUAGGUCUCCAAUCCCCCAAUUAGAAAAGAGAUUUUGGAAAGCCUUGGACAACCCCCUCCUUUGUGUCUACUUCCUAAGACCACCAUUUACUCAACUUUGGUCAAGAGAUUUCUUCUUCUUUGAUCAUUGACCACUUUUUUUUUUUUUUUGGAAGAAUUUGGUAUUAUUAUCCCCCUAUUUUAACCAAAUUUUGCUUAAUUUUUGCCCCUACAUGGUUUCUUCCAACAAAGCCGAUUUGCUAAAAUCAGCUAGUGCUAUUUUUUAUUUUUUUUGUUAAGGGUCUCAAAUUUUUUAUUUGUGACAUUCCCAAAGACCUCUGUGAAUGGCCUUUAGCUUUGCUGCCAACAUAUGACUACAGAAACCUCUCACAUUGUAACCUUGUGAGGUCUUUGAAUCCUUCUGCUUUAAGCCACAUGUUUUCAAAUCUAAAAGGUGAUUUGCCCCUCAACAUCCCUCCUCUGUCAAGAACUAUGUGAGCGUGAUUUUCUGUACUGUUCUUUUCAAUAUUCACUUAUCUUGUCAAGUUUCUCUUCUUAACAUAAUAACUGAUAACACAAGAAGUAACUUCCGCUUUCUUUUCUGUGUCAGCCCAUUCAUAGUAGAAGGUGAUUUAGUAAAAAUCAAGCCUACACUCUCAUGCCCUGUAAGUGUGUCAGCAAGCUUGAUCCAGUUACAUGCAUCCACACACAAAUAUACCAACAUAUAUAAGAUUAUAUUAUUGAGUGAAAAUAUUUAAUGAUUGCAGGUUGAGUUGGGUCACAACACCUUAACCUGAGCAAUUUGGAUGAGAUUUUUCACCCAAGCCCAAUCAUUAGGACAAAAAAACUAACCUGAGCCUUCUAAUUUUCAGCCUGGUAAGCUGGCCAGUCCAACCAAAGUUGCAACCCCACAAAGAAAAGUAAUAGUAGUUUCUUAUCAAUUUCCUUCCAUGGCAUUGCCACCCACUAAAAAAAAAAUUGAGAUGAAAGUGGAAAAAUUCAAUGGGAGGAUCCUCAGAAAUAUACUCCCAAGCAUGGAUAUUGCCUAUGAUCACAAGAGAAAAUUAGCAAAAUAUUACAAAACAACAAAUAGGAUAUGAACCAAGCCUUCCACCCCUUCUUUCCCCUGGGAAAUGACUGCUAGGUUUUAUAAAAUGCAAAACAAGAGAAAGGAAACUUUCUUUCAAUACUUUCAAAAUCAUCCAUCUACUUUUGGAGAAAAAAAAAAAAAAAAAAAGAGCUCAAUUCUGAGUAGGAAGAAAGAAUUUAAGGAAUUGGCAAAAUAGACAAGAAUAAAACUUCCUCAUUGCUUAGCUAGGGAAGAAAAAUCAUUUCAAAGGGUCAAUGGGCCUGAUCUUGAAACUAAUGAAACAUUUCCUAGGCUUUUGAAAUUGGUACUCCAAUGCAAUUCAAGGCUUUGUAGUCAGAUCCCUGGCAUAGAAAAGAUAUUCUUUCUUGAUAAAGUUGGUUACUUAGGAUAAAGCGUAAUAUUGCAUCCUUAGAAACUCUGUACAUGAAGCUUCUGAUGCAGAUAUUUAAAAAAUUAAAAAUAAAAAAUUAUGAAACUAAGGAACACAUAAAAUGGUAAAUACUUUCCAAUAUUAUAUGUAGUUGGACCAUGCCCCAAUGAGUCCAACAGUUUAGCUGCCCACAUUUCAAAGCAUAGGCAUGAAAAUAGAAAAUUAUGAAAAGGAUCAUGAGGAUCAAGCAAACUUUCUACAAAUUCCUUACAAACCCAAGAGAAGAGAUUUAGAGUGUUCUUGGAAAAAUUAGAACUAGGUUUAUAAGAACUGAAUAACUUCUCACCCACCAAAGACCUCAAAAAGACUUUGGGAGCUACCUGGAAACAAAUGAAAGCUGCAAAUAUGAUAACUAUUAGAUUAUAUGCAUUAUCCACAUUAUGCCCCAAAUUUGUGUUAUGUUAAACAUUUCCACUUAUUAGUUCAACACCAUGAAUCUGAAAUUUGUAAUACUCAACCAGCAAUAGCAAUUAAGAUCAAACAGAAAUUACCUGAAUUUCUAUACUAGAAAAGCAUGGCAAAGAGAUGGGAUUUGCAUGUGAUUUGAACUUGCCGGAGGCACUGAAGUUAUUGGCCUGAUCACCAUCUACAGUAGGAGCCACUGAAUUUACUGAACCUUCAUGAAUGAGAGAAGGCACUUGAAAAGUUCCAGUUGUAGGAGACAGUUGUGCCUAAAAGGAAAUUAAAAGAAUAUACAUCAAAAGGAAUUGAAAGGACUCAAUAUCCAUGCUUUAGUGCAACAUAACGAUAAAUGUCUUCAAGGAAACAGGAAAUAAGGAAACAGCAAGUUGAGUGUCAAUAUCUAAUGUCCCAGGAAAAAAUGCUUCUGUCCCUUUGUUCAUCCUGCCUUCUGGCUAUUGGUUGUCUAAGCUGAAAGUAUUCUUUGAUUCAGCAAUGGAUGCUUUAGUGUCACAUUGGUUCAAACCCCACUGUGUAAUUAAAAAUUGGAUAUAUCAGCCAUGCCUUACAGAUUAUCUGUCUCCUGAUCUUUAGUGUUACAUUGGUUCAAGGACUACUGUGUACAGCAGGAAAAGUUUGGUAUGGGUGAAUAAGGGCUCAAAUAUAGGUUGAGAGCCUUUGUAGUGGAAUUUUAGAAAAGAUUAAGAGGCAAUAUGAGACAACCACUCUGACCAGUUAGCAGUUUGAAGACAAAUUGAAGGGCAACCGAGCAAUUUGCACUAUUAGGUGCAGGUGCCAAUGCUUCAUCGAAUAAUAAAGUGGUGACUCAACAAAAACAAGCCAAGUUGGUCCCAUCUUUGGAUCCAAAACCACCCCAAGGCAUAUGGGCACAUAGGGUGGGUAUUUAAUGAGAAUUAUAUCUGAAUUUCAUACCCUAAUGGAAAAAAUAUCAGGGCACCUGUGCCAUGUACCUUACAAGUACCAGAAUCAUCAAAUUGUCACCUUGGCAAACUCAUGGAGGUGCCUAGGCACAUAGGAUAUUCUUUAUUGCGUGAUUGGGAACCUGCAGUCUGAGGAUGGGCUCUUCUUGAUGUAGUCAGGAACGAGGAUAAGUAUGAUUUACUACUCACAGCUGCUAGUGGGUAAUGGCAAAGGAAGGAACAUGCAGUUGCAUCAAUAUUCAACAAAGAAGGCUACCAAUAGUGUUCAUCCUAGUAGUGUUUCUAGAAGCUAUCACCAAUGUUCUUCUCAAUAGAAAUGAGAGAAAUGGUAGUAAUGGAUGGAAAGUUGUCCUAGAAGGGAAUUCUUGGUGAAAUCCAUAUAGCUUAUACUUCCUUUUGGCUUCCUUAAGAGUUUAUUGGAUAUAUAGCCAAAGAGAUAUGGCAAUUUGGAAGAAAAAAUUUCUAACUUUGCAUCAAGGCAACAGGGUAGAACAUGUUUAGUUGGUGCUGCUUAUGUAGCAGGGAUGAGGAAUCAAUGAAUCAUCUGUCUUUCACAACAUUUGGCUUUCAAAUAGGAGAGAUAAUGCGUUAUCUCUAUAGAGCUAAAAUUCAUAUUUUAAUCAAUGAAUGUAUUUAAAACCAAAUGUUUAAAUAAAAGAUGACAAUAAAGCAACAUCUUGGAAAGCAUUUUGAAUUACACUUAAAAAUAAAAUAAAAUAAAAUAAAACCUUAAUAUUAGGAAGAAAAAUAUGAAAAAAAAAAAAAAUUAAAACAUAAUACAUCAAAUUUUCAUGACUUUACAAAUUUUUUUUUCUUUUUUUUUUAUUAAGGAAAAAUCUUUCAUUUUUUUUAUCAUUAUUUUAUUUUUUCAAAUUUUGUCCCUUAAGAUUUGAAAUAAAAAUAUGAAAAAAAAUAAAAACAUAAACAUCAAAUUUUUAUGACUUUGCUAUUAAUUUUUUUCCCUCUUUUUAUUAAAAGAAAAUUCAUUCUUUUAUCACUAUUUUAUUUCUUCUUUUCUUUGACUUUAUUAUAUAAUAAAAUUUUCUCAAACUUCUUACUAAAAUUUCAUACUAAAAUAUUUUUUUAUUAUUUAAAUACAUAAUCAUGCUAGAAAACAUUUUUUAGAGGCAUGAUUAUGCUUGAAAACAUUUAGCAUCAUUUAUGACUUUUUUUUUCAAUAAAAUACAAAUAUGGUUUAUAUUUAUUAGAUUACUUAUAAUAGAAGAUUUUAUAUUAUUUUAAUAACAGCUAAAUAAUGAUUAAAAUAAACUUAUGUCAUUUAUUAGAUUAAAACAUUAUAAGACGUUAUCUUCAAUGUAUAUAUAUAUAUAUAUAUAUAUAAUGACCAAAAUAAAAUAUAUUAUUUAUUAAAUUACUAUAUAUACAUAUCAAGAUGAAGAUAAAUAAUAAUUUAGUUUAAAAUUUUUAUCUUUCAAAAAAAACUAAAAUAAAUAACACUAAUACAAGAGACAUUGAUAUUUAAAAACUAAAAAAAUAAUAAUUUAAGAUAAAAAAAAUUAAUAAUAAUUUAUUAGAUUACAAAGACAUUAUUUUUUUAACUCCUAUCUCUUUAUACCCUCUAUUUUGCCAUUUUGCCUUUUGCCUUUAUGCACAUAAAUUUUCACUAAUAUCACAAGAGACUAAAAGAAAGAAAAAAAUCAUGGAAUUGAAAAUAAAUAAAAAUUAUUUUUAUAACAUUUGCAAAAGGGAAAAGUGUGUUUUCAUACACUCAUAUGAAAAAAACUACAAAAUAGGAACCCAAAUUUAUAAAAUACAAAUUUCAAACGGCUAUCUAAAAAUAAUUAGCAUUUCAUACAUUUUUUUAUCAAAGGUAUGAACUUUUAAUGAUAUAGGUACUAUCUUUGACUAUCUUAGAUACUUUGACCGAAAAGUACAUGAAACUUAAAUUAUUUUUAGUAUUUUGUGAUUAUUUUCAUAUGAAUAUAUGAAAACACACUUUUUCCUUUGCAAAUGACGUUCAUUAAAUAAAUCAUAUAAUUAUUUUUUAAAAUUAAAAAUAUCGACCAUAAUCAAAUAUUUAUUUUAAUGAUUUUUAAUAUUUAAAUAUUUAAAACUUUAUUUUAAAAUAUUUUGGAUUGGUGAGAGGGGCAAUCCCCCAGCUUCAAAACAUUACAACAAGGAUAUAGUUUUGGCAAUUGUUGUUUUAGAUAAUUUUUUAAUAGAAAAUAGUUUAAAAAAAAAAAACUAAUAAUACAACAUUGAGAAUGAUUGAAAAACCUUGGAGAACAUUUCAAGUUCCAAAUAUACUUUUGUUCCAAAAAAACACCAAAGAAUGUGUUUUGAAAACUUCCCUCAAAAAUUGUUCUUUGAGAAAUGUUUUCAAAAAUGUUCCCAUAAAUGGCCUUAAAUUCUAAACCUUCAACCCUAAAUCCUAUCCUGGAGAUUCACAAAACCACAUCAUACAAUUUUUGAACCGAAACAGAAAAAAUUAAAUCACCAAACCCACCUAAUUAUUCACCCAUUUAUUACAAAAUCAUACCAUUUCUAGAAAAUUCCAAAUUUUAAGGUAAAAAAACAGCUACAUCCAUUUGCAUUUUGAUUGAAACUGAUCCUUUUGGACCAAUCAGAGAAACCAUAGUCCACCAAACACACCAAUAUUUCAUUCGAAAUUCCAUAGAAUGUAUACAAAAAUCCAGUCGUAAUCAACAAUUAACAUUCCGUUUCGAAGUGUUUCUAAAAAGCACUUCUAGUCUAAAAAGUGUUUUUUUGAAGAAAAAUGAAGUUUGCCAAAAUAAAUAAACAAGAAUUGAAUUUCACCUGAGUGUUGGGGAGCAUGAUCGGAGAAUCGAGCAAGACGGUGGGACUGAUGCCCGGAGGUAUAAUGAGGGGCGGCGACCGAGCCGCCGGCAACGCCAAGAGUCUGGAACACCUGAAACGCGGCGUUUUGAUUAUGGAAGCAUCAAAGCCAAACUUGGCGGCUCUCCUCUCCGCAAUGCUCCCGCUAUUUAUUCUAGUCGAAUCCAUGCCAUCCAUGGAGGAAAAAAUGACUCAGACUUCCAUGGAGGUAGCAGCAGCAGCCAUACUGGGUAGAACCCCAGAUUUCUGAAGCUUACGUUUCGAGGGUGGAGCUGAAACUGAUAGAUUGGUGGGAAACAACGUCCUUUGACGUUGUUUCCUACCAUCACAAUUUUCUUUCUCCGGGAAGGUUGGGAGUGUGGAUUUUAAUUUAAAGCCUAAAGAAGGGAGAGAGGAGACUCCACGUGGCAAACGUUACAUACGAAAAUCUGGAGAACGAAUUUAAACGACCAACCAAAAUUCAGGAUUUUGUUGCAACUGGAAUUAUUUUUUUCAUUUUAUUUUUAUUAAUAAUUGUAAUUAGAAAAAAAUAAAAUAUUCAAAAAAGUUAAAGGUGGAAUAUUUUUUGAAUUACUUGAUUAAAAUAUGAUGAAAUAACCCCAUUUUAUGGUUUUAACCAUAUUUUUAUUAGAAGAGUAAUCUAUUUUUGACAUAAAUAUUAUUGAUUAUUUGAGGUAUUCAUGUAUAAGUUUUAAAAGAAAUAAUUAUUUUUACAAGAAAAUAAUAAAUAUAUUUUUAUUAAAAUAUAAUAAAAAAACUAAUGAAGGAUUAGAUUUUUGAAAUUAAGUUUUCAAACAGUUUUAAUUAAAUAACCUAUUUUUCUUUUUCUUUUUUGUCGUAUAUAAUAUAUUUGGCCGAGAUUAUUUGACCCCUAUUAAAGGGUAAUCUGGUUUCUGGAUAUCACGAUAUUUUAGGAAGUGAUUUUUAUUUUAAGAAAUGUCCACAAAUUUAUUUAGUUGAUCAUAAAUUUCAUGUUAGGUAAAUAACUUUUUAUUCUUUUUAUAAAUAAAAAUUUAUACGAAUAUUUAAAAAAUCACAAAGUAGGAAUCUAUUUGUAAAAUCUAAAUAUACUAUUUUUAUUAAAAAUAAUUAAAAUUAUAUACACUUUUAGAUAAAAAAUUAUUAUCUCUUAUCAAACUACCAUUUUAUAAUACAAGUACUAAUUUUAUCCAUUGCCUUACUACUUUGAUUUGAGAGUGCCAUAAUUAGAAUAUAUUUAAAAAUAUAAUUUUGUGUGUUUUUAUAAGUACUUAUUUUAAUCGUCUAUGUUACUAUUGAUUCGAGUGUAUGGAAUUUAAAUUAUUUUUUUAUGAUUUUUAUUUUUAUUUUUUCAAGAUAUAUUUUUCACUAAAUAUUAUAUAAUUCCUUAUUUCUACCAAUAAUAAUGCUAAUAAUUGCUUAAUAAUAUUGUGGACCCCGCAUUUUGGCACGAUGCGUUCCCACUUGAUGGCAAAACUCGUUUUUUUGUUUAUUUGGUGAAAAAUUAAUUUGAGAAAAAACACUUGAAGUUGCCACUUAUUUUUGUUUUAUUUUUAAAGGGUAAAUAAAAUAAGAAAGAAAAACCCUAAGUGUAACUCCUUAUUUGGAAAAGGUGGUCUGUGAAAAGUUAAGUCUGGGUUUGGGGGUCAGGUUACUCAUUGGGAAGGUACGGUAAAGACCGUAGCACCCCUCUAAGCCCCUAAGAAUAGGUCUCUACUAAAUAAGGUAAAAUAAGUGUGGUAAUUGAUGAGGAAAUUAAUGGAUACAAUGAAAUGAUUAAGUAAUAAAACGAAUCACGCGUAAGAGUAAGCAAAAUGGGAGUGGGAGUGUACCUUAGCAGCGAGUAAUAGUCGCUAUCAUGGAAACGUGGUUAGCUCAAGUAUAAAAUCAUCACAUGCAUAUCAAAGAGUAAGACUAAAAUCAAGCAACAUUCAUUAAGUAUAACAGUCAACAAUCAAAAGAAAAAACUUAUAUGUAGGGCUUCUACCAAAGCCUAAUUUAUCUUGCAUGAAUUGGUCUCACAAAUUUCCUUAUUUCGAAAUUAUGGAAAAAAAAAAUCAUUCUUAUUUAUAUAAAAUCAAGAGAAACGGAAGAUUAUUUGAAAAUUAGAGUGGAAUUAAAACGGUUCGAAAGAAAAUUAGAUUUUUGAAAUUUAUUUGAAAAUUGGAGUCUUGGGAAUUAAAUUUAAGAAUUGGAAUUUUUGAAAUUAAAUUAGAAAGAAAUUGGAAUUUUUAAAAUUAUUUGAGAAUUAGAGUUUUGGAAAUUAAAUUAAAGACUUGGAACUUUGGAAAUUAAAUUAGAAAGAAAUUGGCAAAUUAUUUAAGAAUUGGAGUUUUGAAAAUUAAAUUUAAGAAUUGGAAUUUUGGAGAUUAAAUUUGAAAGAAAUUAGGAUUCUAAAAAUUAUUUGAGAAUUGGAACUAUGAAAAUUAAGUUAUGAAAAUUGGAAUCUUGGAAAUUAUUUGAAGAUGUAAUUUUUUUUUUAGAAUUAAAUAAAAUGAUGAUGAUAAUAAUAAUAAUAAUAAUAAUAAUAAUAAUAAUAAUAAUAAACAAAUAAAUAAAUGUGAAAAUUGGAAUUUUGGAAAUUGGAAAUUACAUUUGGAAAUCGGAAUUUUGAAGAAUUAUUUAAAGAUAGAAUUUUAAAAAUAAAUAAAUAAAAUAAUAAUAAUAACGAAAAUAAUAAUGAUUAAAUAAAUAAAUAUGAAAAUUAGAAUUUUGGAAAUUGGAAAUUAAAUUCGGAAAUUGGAAUUUCAGAAAUUGAAAAUUAAAUUUGGAAAUCGGAAUUUUGAAGAAUUAUUUAAAGAUGGAAUUUUGAAAAUAAAUAAAUAAAUAAAAUAAUAAUAAUAACGAAAAUAAUAAUGAUUUAAUAAAUAAAUAUGAAAAUUGGAAUUUUGGAAAUUGGAAAUCAGAAUUUUGAAGAAUUAUUUAAAGAUGUAAUUUUGAAAAUAAAUAAAAUAAUAAUAAUGAAAAUAAUAAUGAUUAAAUAAAUAAAUAUGAAAAUUGGAAUUUUUGAAAUCGGAAAUUAAAUUCAGAAAUUGGAAUUUCAGAAAUUGAGAAUUAAAUUUGGAAAUUGGAAUUUUAAAGAAUCAUUUAAAUAUGGAAUUUGAAAAUAAAUAAAUAAAUAAAUAAAAUAAUAAUGAAAAUAAUAAUUAUUAAACGAAUAAGAGCGAAAAUUGGAAUUUGGGAAAUUGGAAAUUAAAUUUGGAAAUCAGAAUUUUGAAGAAUUAUUUAAAUGUGGAAUUUAAAAAUAAAUAAAAUAAUAAUAACGAGAAUAAUAAUGAUUAAAUAAAUAAAUGCGAAAAAUGGAAUUUUGGAAAUUGAAAAUUAAAUUGGGAAAUCAGAGUUUUGAAGAAUUAUUUGAGAAUGGUAUUUUGGGAAAACUAAAUUUUGAAGAUUGGAAUCUUAGGAAAUUAUUUUGAGAAUGAAAAUUCAGGAAAUUAAAGAAAUUGAAAUCUUGAAAAUUUAUUAUGAGAAUGGGAUUUCGGAAAAUUAAAUUUUGAAAAAGUUGGAAUCUUAAAGAAUUAUUUUGAUAAUGGAAUUUCGAAAAAUUAAAUUUCGAAAAUUGGAAUCUUGAAAAAUUAUUUUGAGAAUUGAAUUUUUAUAAAAAGGCGAUUUAGUAGAAUGACACGUGGCUUGAAGAAAUGUAGCCAUGCAUAGUCAAAUACUCCAAUGUGUGCUUUAUAUACAAUAUCAAAUUCAAAUCAAGCUUGUGGACCCCAUCCCAAAAUUUAUUUUCUCCAUGUAUUUAAGCUUAUUCCCAACUUCAUUAUGCUAUCCUCGGUAUGCAACAAACCCAUUUUCAUGUUGCCAAAAUAUCAUACCCACCCCACCAUCCCAUUUUCCCAUGCAUAUAUCUAUCAUACUCACAUCACAAACCCAUUUGUUACACAUAUUCAAUAAGUGAAUCUCAUACUUGGAAUGUGGUUUUUGAACGACAAAGAGACCCGAUUUAUAUUUCUAGAGAGAGAAUGGUGGUGACGGGAAUGCAAAUAUGGGUAUGAGGGAUGAAAAAAAUAGAGAUGGCCAUGCACUUGGGGCUUCAUGCACAUGGGCAUAAUGGAACAUGAGAGAUGGAGAGGAAUGGUGGAGACAUUUGCAAAGGCUGGCCAUGCAUGGCCAUGCAAACGUAAGGGCAUGGGUUUAAUGGAUAUUAGAGGAUAGAAAUGGAAAUGGUGGUGGGUUUGAUGAAGCAUGAAGGUAGGAUGGGAAGGUGGUGAGAUGGUGGGUAUGAUAGGUAAGAUAUGUGAGAGAAACGGGUAUGAGGGCAAAAAUAUAAAUGGCCAUGCACUUGGGACUUAAUGCACGUGAGAAAUGGUGAUGGGCAUAAUAGAACAUGAGGGAUGGAGAGGAAUGGUGGAGACAUUUGCAAAGGCUGGGCAUGCAUGGCCAUGCAAAUGUGGGGGCAUUGGUUUAAUGGAUAUUAGAGGAUAGAAAUGGAAAUGGUGGUGUGGUGUAGAGAGAAAAGGGUGGCAAUGGGUAUGUGAAAAAUGAAAUGGGUUAAUGGGUAUCGAAAUGUAGAAAGAAUGAGUGAUGGUGAACACGUUAAUGGGUAUGGAAGAUAUGGGAUGGGUUGUGGGAUGUGGUGGGAGAAAUGGUGAUAUAGGGUUUCAUGAAGGUGGUGACAUACAUGGGAUAAAAAAAUGGGUAUGCAUGGAAGAGAGGUUGAAGAGAUGGAUGAAGAUCUAAGUGCAUGGUGGAUAGAGAAAGAAUGAAGGUUAGGUAUUGAAAGAAAUGGAGAUGUAAGAUGGCCAUGCAUGCAUGAGGAUAAACAGGAAAGGAAACGUACAAGGAAGUGAAUGGAAAAAAUGAAUGAGAGAAGUAUUGAAGGAAAUGGGUUUAAUAGGUAGGAAUGGAGCUUUAGAGAGAGAGGUGGGUUUCAAGAUGGGUAAUGAGGUAUAGAGAGAGGAAGGUGGUGACGGGUACGGGAUUAGUGGGGCAUGAAGUUGGAAAUGAGUAGUGAGUGGAUGAAAAUGUGGAGAGAGAGAGAGUGUGAGAGAAGGGUGGUAUAUGGCAGUGAGAGAAACAGGUUAGAGAUGGGCAUGGAAAUAACAUCAAUCCAAGUUCAAAAUUUUCCAGAUUCAAUUUCAUAUUAGAAUAUUUCAACUCUCUUGCAUCAUUCUUUAGAUCAAACAUGAACUUCACCGCUUGUUACCACCACUAAGGUCCAGUUCCAGCUCUAAAGAUGAAACUUCCUAUUCUCUGAUGGGCACAAAAUACCCAGAAAAUGAGAGAUAAGCACUAAAUAUUACCAUUGAUCCACCCGAGGCAGAACCUAUAAUGUCAACAGCUUCAUCAACCUAAACUGCCUAAACAAUCUCAUCUGUAUUCUUUGUCUAGGUACCUCCCAAUGACUCUGAUGUUGAGCUCCCUCAGAAGCACCCCAAUUCAGAUGACCAACCCAAGCAUGAUAUUCUCUCCAACUAAAAAAGAACACCCAAAACGGAGGAUACAAUGAAGGAAAAACAGAGUUUGCACAAAAGAAAGUAAGGUUGUUAUAUUUAGCUCCAUCUCAUGCUGAUAAGUGAGCUGAAUAGAGGUGGAAGAAUCUCAAGAAAUGAGAACAGGAUUUCUAUUUAUCAAACUCAAGGAGAGAUUAAUACAUCAAGUGUUUUCCAAAGGGAAACAAAGACAUCGGAACAUGAGGUCCUAACAGAGCAUGCACAUAAAAAAGCAGACAUAGCAAAGCAAACAAGUGGCCCGUGACGUCCACACCAAAUCAUCCAAUGAACCCAAAAACUAUCAGGAAACAAGAUAGAACACUCUAAAAUGAGAAAAUACAAAGGAGUGUCGAAAUCAUACCUGGAUCGGACUGACAAGCUCCUCCACUGUUCCCUCUUCAGUUUCUUUCUAAGGCUCUUCAUUGGUUCAUUCUCAAGCUCUCUUCGAAAAAAUCUCACUCUCCCUCAAGCUCACCCCGUAUCUCCCUACAACAAUCAAAGGAAGCUCCUUUUCUCUCUUCUCCUGCCCAAAAAAUAUCUUUUCUCUCUAAAUCCUCUAGCUAGCUUGCAGAACACGCCCCUUUGUCCCCCUAAGCUAUCCCUACCUCCCUCUAUUUCUAGCCAGCUCUUCGUUCGACUCAAUUUCUUCCAAGAAAACGAAAAAAAAAAAACUCUUUGUCGCCUUCCAGCUUGUUCCACAAGCUAUCUAUAUCCCUAUCACAACCCACAAAAAUGUCUUUCUUGUCAUGCAGCCUCAUUUUCUGUUCAGUUCUGUCUCCCUUCUUCAAACGGUUAUGUCCCCCCUUUUUCAAAUAACUCACCCAUCAUUCCCCUUUGGCUGCGAGUCCUGUCUAGCCGCCUCAUACAGCCUAUUCCCAGGUUGAUGAAGAAUGAGAAAAUAAAACAAAAGAAAUGUCUCAUAUUUGAGGGGGUCUACAAAUAUACUUAUAAUAGGAAAACGAAAAAUGGGGUAUUUACCAUUUUUAAUGUUUCUAUUAUCAGGGGUGUUUCCUAUUUUACUCUAAAAAUAGAAUAAUAAGAAAGAGUAAGCUUUCAAUGUCUAAUAUUUCAAAUAAAAAAGAGAAAAAAAUUAAUAUUUUUUUUGAUGAUUUUUAUAUUAUGCUUUUGUACAAAUCCAAAUUCUAUUAAUCAUGGUAUUUAGUAUUUUAAUAAUAAAUGCGAUAAAAUUGUAAGUUUCCUAAUAUUUUCCCUCUAUAUCACCUUCCAAUUUUAUUUGUAAUAAUAAUUAUUAAAAAUAAUAUUAAAUAGCUUACUUAAAGUUGUGUGUUUUCCUAGAAAAAUGACAAUGUAGAAAAUAAGAGCUUUGGGGGCUAGGGUUUCUACUAGAUAGAAAGCUUUUAUCUUUUUUUUUUUCCAAUAACAUUUUUUAGAUUAAUCAUUCCCAAUUAUAUUACUAUUAUAAAAUAUCUUCUAAAAGAAUUUUAGAAUAUUCCCAUAACAUAAUUUUUUGAAAUAUCUUAAUGGGAGUUUUAAUAAAAAUGAAUAUUUAAUUUAUUCAUAAGUAGGAGUAACUUAUUAAAUAUUCAUAAAUUACAAACUAUAAAACUUUUCUUAUACAAUAAAUCAUUAAUUGACAUAAAAUUUACACAACUUUAAAAUAAUUCUUUUGUAUCUUAAACAUUAAUCAACGCCAUAAAUGAAAUCACUAAGAAACAAUGAUCCGAGCAUGUGAAAAUAUUGGAACAUGUAGAUACCAAACCGUUGAGAACCUUGGAUUACUUAGUUCCCUUACCCUGAACCUCAUAGGGUACAUGUUACUAUACCUAGGGCUCUCUAGAUCUAACGCAACAAAAAAACAAUGAUUUCAAAACCAAUAAUUAACAUAGAUCUAGAGAUUAAGUGUUCAAACUUGCAAUUUGGAUGUUCCUAGACCGAAUCUCAUCCAAUGAAGAUGUUAAAAACCAUAGUAGUCAUCGUAGAACUCAUUUACCCAAGAGUCUUCCACCUAAUCUCUCCUUUAACGGGUCUAGGUGCUAGAGAAUAUUGGGUUUCUCUGUCACCCAUGAGGAUGACUCUUUGGAAGACAGACAAAAAAAUUCUAAACCCUAAACCUCUAAGGAGGUUUAUAUAGGGCUCUUUGUGGGCUUAAGUGCUUUAAACCCAAAUUGUGUUUGGGUUACCUAAUCCAGCUCACCUAGGUCCUAAUUAAUUAAUUAGCCUUUUUGGGCUUCAAUGAAUUAAUUAGUUUAAUUAAAAAAAUUCAUAAUAAUUAAUCAUAAAAUACUGUGCAAUCUUCGAAUCAUUAUCAUGUUUGUAUUAUUUAGGAAGAUAGUGAUUCGAAGGCAUCCUUCUCAUUUUCCUCAAAUUCAAUUAUCCCUAUUACUAAGCGGGGGUCAUGUACCACCCUUAAUCUAGAGUCAUUGGUCUUAUACAUGAUAGGCAUUACAAAUGGCACAACAAGAAGCUAGGUCUAAUCAAAAUCACCAUAGACCUUGAUUAAAGGUCACUAUCGCUUAGAGGCUUAUUCUACAUCUAACCCUUUCUUAGUUGACUCAAAGGUCUAUUAAGAGGCCUCCUCGACGAUUAGUAUGAAGGAAGUUAUCUGUUGAGAGAAAACCUAAUGAGAGGCUUAGGGAGGACUAUGUAUGGCAAGGGUUUAGUCAUGAGUUCACAUAUGAUAUCAAGAUUUUCCAUUUUUUCGAGCUCACUUUUGGAUUUGUGAAGCUUCUAAAGAGGUAUCAUUUUACAAUACUGAUGUUGCCACCAUUUAAUAUAUAUAGAACCAAUGUUUCUAAGUUAUUCACAACACUUGAGAAUAGGUUAGGAAACUUAGGUAUGCUUCAUUUUUCUAUUGGAGGAUGCAAGGAUGUCAUCUUUGUCCGGACGAUUGCUAAGGCUUUUGGCUUUCCCCUAAUCAAGCCUCUAGACUCUCAUUUUAUACCCUGAUUUGUACCUUCAUUUAUGACAAUAGCCAAUUGACUUACACCACAAUGCAUUUGGUGCAAGUUAGUAGUGAGCAAACUUCAAUGCCUUAGUUCUUUGGUUCAUUGAUCAAGACUAAUUUUUUUUUUUUUUUUUACAAUGGGUUGUAUAAUUGAGAGGACAAGUGAUGUAUUUUAAGGCCUCUAUCAAAUUUACAUGGGUGAGUAGUAGAGUCCACAAACAAUAUUAUAGUCGUAAUAGUAUACUUUUAUGAUGAAGUCAAGGUUAAAAACUUAUGCUCAACUUUGAAAUAUCCAAUCCUACUGCCUAGGUUGAUAUUAGAGUACUUGAUCAAGUGAGAUUCCAAUUGACCAAUUAAGAUAUAUUUCCUUUAGAUAACACUUAUGCUAUGUAAUAGGGGACCUCACAUAUUUACCAUGAGCCACAACAAAACAAAAUCUAGUCGUAACUUCUAAGAGAGAAAUAAUAAAAUGACAUACUUUCACGGGUAUGAAGUUGAGGCUUGGACACAUGGAAGGAUGAAUAGAUAAGUUGACUUAUAUCAUGUAGCAAUUAAGCUCCACUAGUGAUAUUCCUUGACAUUCAAAUGAUUCUACAUAAUAUGCACAUUACACUAACUUUAUUGAUUAUGAGUGUACUGAGGUAGACAAGCAAGUUAGGGGUAAAGGGGCAAGGGGGCAAGAAGUUUAGGGGUUUUCUAUGCUUCUUGUGAAAACAUGAGUCGAUACCUAUAUCAGUGAUGACUCACUUGUUAUAGUUGAUUGUGUUGAUAAUGUAACACCAUUCUUGACAAGAUUGCAUUUGAGAAUGUCUCUAAGGUUGAUGAUUGAUAUGUAACUACCAUCAUGACAUAUGUUUAUGUGGUUAUAUAUUUUAGGCGCUAGUCACCAUACUCUCUAACACUACUCAUUUUGUAUUUUUCUUAUCUCUCUCAUCUACAUAUACUUUUGCUAAUGAUCUUAGUUUUGUGCAUAUCUAGUUCUUUGAUACACAAGUUAAAGUUGAUGAUCUACGAGGUAAAAAUGAUUUCACCUUACCUUUUCACUUCUUGUUGUUUUUAUUGAGGACAAUGAGUAAUUUAGGUUAAGAAGGAAAGACAUUGAUGUCCUAUUUUCAUUUCUUUUUCUUUUUUUUUUUUUCAAAAUUUUGUAUGUUAUCUUGGUUAGUUAAUAAAUUCAUGAUUAGUCAUGGUGACUCUUUUUAUUCUUCUACAUGAGAUUUUUUUAAGUAGGAUAUUUACUUUAAAACUUGAGAAAAGAAUGAGUUAGAUAAGAAUACUAGUUGAUAUCUAAAGAUAUUUUAGAUUUUUCUUUGAUGGUUAUUUUCUGCUCACAAUUCAAAAUAUGCAUUAAGCAUGGUGCAUCCUUAUGGCAACCUAAUUGAGACUAUAUUUCUUUAAUUUAAAAAGGUUUGCUCUCAAGUGAAAAGAGGGAGAAACACUUAAAAAAGGAAAAAAUAAUCCUUAGAAAAAUAUGAAGAAAUUUGAGAAUACAUGAAUAAUGUAAGCUUGAUCAACUAUUCAAUGGGAUAAUGACCUUAUGCCUUCCUUGGUUCCCCCAAUUAACUGGUUAGGAUUCACAAAUGCCUCACUUGUUAUAUAAGAUGAAUAUCACAUUUGACAUAAUUAUGCACUUAGAAAACUUGACUUUGUUCUAAUUUCAACUAGCAUGAUAACCGAGGAGUAAGUAAUUGGUAAAGAUCCUCAACACUUGAUAUCUUGGGUGAGUACUUGGGAAUUACUAGUAGAUCCUCACUAAGCCAUAUAAAAGAAGAUUUCCUUGGGAAAAAGACAAAAGAAAAAGAGUCUUAACAUAAGUGUUUCUUUUUGUUUUGAGUAGUGGAAGAAUCGGUUUUAGGUUAAAGGUGAAAGUCUUAAGAGGCAUACUAUGAGGGACCACCAAAGGCAAACACAUGAGGCUUAGGUGAAAAGAACUAGCUAAAGUAAUUCCGAGCGACACUAUGAGAGACAAUAAACAUGGAUAUAUACCUAUGUCUAAAGAGGAUAAGUUGAGAAGGCUAGGAGAUUACUUGACUUAUGUCAUAUUUCUUAAUUAUAAGAAAAUUCAUCACUUAAGUAGUUGAUGUGAAUAACAUUAUAUCGAGCCAUUAUGCAAACAUGAUUUGCAUUACACUUGAGUUUUAUUUAUUUAUUUUUAUUUUCUAGGAAAUAAAAAACUUCAAAUUAAUUAGGAUAAUUAGAGCCUAAAGAGGCGCUCUGUUGGCACAUAAAUAACAUUAAUUAGAUGAUUCUAAAGACUUAAACCAUCUAACUUUAUAGGAAUUGGUGUUAGCACCCUAGCUAUGGAUUUAACAUUUAUUUUGAGCUUAAUUCUAGGAAAAGUAAUAGAAAGAAUAAAAAAUGAAUGAGAACUUAUCAAUAAAGGUAGAGAAAUGGAUCAAACAACCAUAAAAGAAAGGCUUCAAGCUUCUUGAAGAUAAGAAAAAUUAGAGCAAAAACAUGAGGAUCAUGACAUGAGCAUGAGAGAUAUAUGAGUAAUGAAAGCCAUGGAGAGAAUUGAGAUAGAAAACAACCAUAUUAGAGGCUAUUCAGAGCCAAAGCUAAGGAAGGAAUGAAGAAAAUGGACAAGGCAAACUCAAGGAAGUUAGAGGACUCAAGUUAGAAGCUAAAUUUGAAGUUUUGACAAAUGAAGUUCAAACUCAAAAGAAUAAGGAAAGCACCCACUAGAAGCUCAAUUCUAAAUUCCCUUUAGAAUUUGAAUUAGAGCAAAGCAAGGAGAAGACACUAGAAACUUAAUUUUAAAUCCUCUUGGAUUUUGAGUUGAUAUCAAACUAGUGGAAAAGAGCGAGUUGUAGACACAAGUUUAGUUUGCAAUUACUCAUGGAAUUCAAACUUUAACUAGCCUUGUACACUUUCAAAUUAGCCAUUUUCAAUUUGAAUUAGACUUUUAGAGUUCGAGCAAAGCUUCUCUAGGCCACUCUAAUUCGGUUUUAGACACCAUAAGAGUCUACCUAGUUCAAAAUGAGUUUUAUUUACUCAAUAUUUGCAUGUUUGAUAUAUUUUUGAGACAAUAAUAUUUAUUUUUGGAUAUUAUUGACCAAUAAGGCUAUACCAUGUGUCUUAACAUUGAUUUUACUAUAUAAGUGUUAGGGCGAAUUCACAAUAUUCCAACAAACACCAGGAUUUUUCUACCAUUUCUUUGUGCGAAAUUAAUUAUGUAAUAGCAACUAGCAGGAAUAAAUAAAUAAACUCAUGCAAUGGAAAAAUAAAUCAGACACCAAAAUUUUUACAUGGAAAACCCUCCAAUACGAAGGAAAAAACCAUAGGACCUAAUCCAGUUCAAACUUCCACUAUCAACAAUAAUGGGUUACACUUGUCUUCUCUAGAAUAAUCUCUAAAGGCUACCAAAUACAUCAAGAGCACAUAUAGCCUUGGAUUAUAUAAUCUCUCUUGGCAAAAAACAAAGAAAAUUGGAGAAAGAAUACCCCAAAAACAUGACAUUACUGUUCACAGGCAGUAACACCAGUUCCUGAGCUCAAAAUCUAAUCUCCAUCGUUCAGAUUGUAGCUACUCGAGUUUCAAACCUCUCUUCAAAAUUUCAAUUCGAUCGGACCACAGAUGAAGCGGGAUCGACUCUUUGAUGAAAUUUGGGCAAUGAAAUGUGUUUUUCCUUUUUCUUUUUUCUUCUCUCUGAUUUUCAUUUUUUCCCAAUCUCCAUCUAUUUUUGUUUUUUUGUUUUUUAUUAUAACUGACUUGGGCCCCAAGAAUAUGGGGCCCACUCCCUUACAUAUGAGGGAACCCAACAAAUCUCUCAUUCCCAACUAUGUGAGGGGCUCUACCAAGCCCGCUUGCUUUCUACAAACUUGUAGAUUCUCUGUAGGUAUUGGUUUUGUCAUCAUAUCUGAUCCAUUCUCAUUAGUAUGGAUUUUCUCAACGCAAAACAAUUUAAUCUCUAGUGCAUCACGAAUCCAAUGAUAUCUCACAUCAAUAUGCUUUGAUCUAGAGUGAAAAGUUGGAUUCUUACUGAGAUGAAUAGUACUCUGACUAUCACAGUAGAGUAGAUACAUUUCUUGUUGUAGACCCAAUUCUUGUAGAAACUUCUUCAUCCAUAGUAACUCCUUGCUAGUUUCAGUGAUAGCAAUAUACUCGGCCUCUAUGUUCGACAAAGCAACACAUUUUUACAACCUUGAUUGUCAUGACACUAAUCCCCCUUAAAAAGUGAUCACAUAACCAGAAGUGCACUUUUUGAAAUCAAUAUCCCCAGCCAUAACUGCACUUGUGCAUCCUAUAAGCACAAGUUUGUUAGUCCCAAAACAUAAACAUGUCUUAGAAGUACCCCUCAGAUACUUGAGAAUCCAUUUCACUGCGGCCCAGUGUUCUUUGCUAGGAUUAGAAAGGAACCUGAUGACAACUCCAACAACAUGAGCAAUAUCAGGCCUCGUGCACACCAUGACAUACAUCAAGCUACCCACGGUUGAUGCAUAGGACACCUUUUGCAUUUUUUUUCUUCUUUCUUACUUGAAGGACUUUGUUUGGAACUUAGCUUUAGAUGACUUCCAAGUGGAGAACUCACUGGUUUUGCUUUGCCCAUGUUGAACUUGUCUAAAACCUUCUCAAUAUAACUUUCUUGAGAUAGCCACAAUUUUUCAUUCGUCCUAUCUCGAGAAAUCUUUAUAUCAAGAAUUUGACUUGUAGGCCCCAAGUCCUUCAUUUCAAAGGACUUGCUCAACUCCUUUUUCAGUUUAUCAAUUUUACCAAUAUCUCAACCAACAAUCAGCAUGUCAUCCACAUAUAGUAAGAGAAUAAUAAAUUCUCCAUCAGAGAAUUUCUUCACAAACACACAAUGGUCAGAAGCAGUUCUAUCAUACCCAUGCUUAACCAUGAAGGAAUCAAACUUCUUGUACCACUGUCUCGGUGCCUGCUUGAGACCAAACAAGUUCUUCUUCAGUUGACACACUAAGUGUUCCUUGCUUUUGAUUGUAAACCCUUCUGGUUGCUCCAUAUAUAUUUCCUCUAAGUCACCAUGGAGGAAAACAGUCUUCACAUCAAGUUGUUCAAUCUCUAGAUUCAUACUAGCAGCCAAACCUAACACAACUUCAAUCAAAGACAUCUUAACCACAGGUGAGAAAAUCUCUUCAAAGUCAAUGUCUUUCUUCUAACUAAAACCUUUCACAACCAAUUUGUACCUUGGCUAUGAUUUGUUUGGUUAAGGCUUCCUUUUCAGUACCCAUUUAUUUUUCAAUGCUCUCUUACCCUUAGACAACUCCAUCAAUUCAUAAGUGUUGUUCUUAUGCAAGAAUUUCAUCUUUUCAUGCAUAGGUCUCAACCACUUUUUUUUCUCAUCAUGCAGCAGAACCUCUUGAUAAUUUUCUGACUCUCCUCCAUCAGAAAGUAUCAAAUACUCAUCACUAGUAUACCUUUUGGAAGGUUAACACUCUCUAGUAGAUCUUCUUAACUAUGUGUAAGUAGGCAAAUCUGAAGUAGCUUGUUCUUACUGCUGUUCUAGGCCAUCAUUCUCAAUUGUAUGAUUUUCUUCUACAUCAUCAACUACAGACUCAUCAUUUCUGUCAAUUGUAUCAACCUGUUUUUCUUGCAUAACUUCCCUAUGUUCAUUAUGUCCCAUAGAGUUAGGAGAGACUAAACCUAAAUCAACUUGUUCUUCACUAAAAGGCUUUGGCUUCUUAACCUGAUCUAAGUCUUCAAUGGUUUGAUCUUCAAAGAAGACAACAUCUUUGCUUCUUAUAAUUUUUUGGUAGUUGAAUCCCAUAACCUGUACCAAAACUCUUCAUUUGAAUAACCUAAGAAGAUACACGGUUUAGUCUUGUUGUCAAGCUUGGACCGCUCAUCUCUAGGAACAUGAACAAAUGUCCUGCAACCAAACACUCUCAAGUGCUCAAAGGAAACACAUUUUCCUGUCCAAACUCUCUCUAGAAUAUCACCCUCUAAAGGAUAUGAUGAAGACAGAUUAAUCAAAUCAACAGUUUUCAUCUUGGCCUCACCCCAAAAAGACUUAGGCAAUUUUGCAUGAGAGAGCAUACACCUGAUUCUAUCACAGAUGGUUCUAUUCAUUCUCUCAGCUACACUAUGGGAUCUUAGGAACCGUCUUCUCAAGCUUGAUGUCAUGACUUCUGCAGUAUUGCUCAAAUGGCCCCUUAUAUUCACCACCAUUGUCUACUCUAACAGAUUUUAACUACUUACCAGUUUGCCUCUCAACCUUUACAUGAAAAUAUUUGAAUACAUCAAGUACCCGGUCUUUGGAUUUCAAAGCAUAUGCCCACACCUUUCUUAAAUGAUCAUCAAUAAAAGUCACAUAAUAAAGUGUACCACCAAGAGUAUUACUUUGCAUAGUACAAACAUCAGUGUGAACUAAAUCAAGAAUAUCUAGUUUUCUACAUGAAGGAAAUCUACAAAAUGUAACUCUACUUUGCUUUCCAUACAAACAAUGUGUACAAGGUAAUAGUGACAUACCUUUAACUCGUAGAAGCUUCUUUUUGGCAAGAACCUGAAAUCCCUUUUCAUUCAUGUGACCAAGCCGCUUAUGCCACAGCUCAGUAGAGGCUUCAUUCUCAACAAUGUUCACCUCUCCCGUGACUAGUCUCGCUUCUGUCUUGUAGAGGGUAUUGUUUUUCUUCCCCCUAGCUAAAAUAAGAGAACCCUUAGUAAGCUUCCACUUACCCUCUCCAAGGUGACUGGUAGUCCUCAUCAUCAAGCUUCCCAAUAGAGAUCAAAUUAAAGUGCAUUUUAGGAACAUGUCUAAUAUAUUUCAGAACCAAUUUGCACCUAAUGCUAGUUUCUAGCUCUAAAUCUCCCAUGCCAACAAUUUCACAUAUUGCUUCAUUACCCAUCCUAACCCAACCAAAACCACCACUAGUAUAGGAAGAGAAUAAAUCUCUAUGUGCAAUGAUAUGAAACGACGUUAUUGUAUAAACCACCCAAGUUGAAUCCUGGCAUGCAAGGUUUACACACGCAUCAUCACAAACAAUGAUCAUAUCACCAUCAGAUGAACUAUUGCAAUGUUUGUCCUUUUUUUGUUCUUCAUCUUUUCUUUUAAACUGUUUUUUUUUUCUGAAUUUUCUACACUCUCUCUUAAUAUGCCCUGACUUGUCACAAUAAAAACACUUUAUCUCUUUUCGGGACUUUGACUUUCCCCUUGACUUGUCACAAUUAUAAUCAUUGGAAGGUUUUCUGCUUUUACUUCUCACCCGCCUCUCUAUAACAAGUGCUUCUAUAUUAGAGGAAAUACCUAACUCUUUUCUUCUUGCCUCUUCAUUAAACAUGUUGUCUUUUACCAUGUUGACAAUUAUCACACCAUUUGGGGUUAAAUUACUCAAAGAUACCACCAAAGUUUCCCAACUAUCUGGUAAAGAACUCAACAAAAGUAAAACUUGUACCUCAUCAUCUAGCUCAAGUUUCAUGGUAGACAACUCAUUCAAUAGUCCCUGAAAAUUACUGAGAUGUUUUGCAACACUAUUACCAUCCUUGUACUUUAAUUCACAAGCCUCUUUAUCAUAAAAACUUUGUUCUGUGCAGUCUUUCUCUCAUAAAGACUCUCUAAUUUCUGCCAAAGGCUAUAUGCAUCAACUUCGUUGGCUACAUGAUGGAAGACACUCUGAUCAACCCAUUGCCUAAUCUAUCUAAUGGUUUUCCUAUUUAAUUUCUUCCAGUCAUCCUCAGUUGUAGUAACUGGCUUAUAACCCCUACAUUCAAUGGGCUCAAACAACUCUUUGCAAUAUAAAAUAUCCUCCAUCCUAGCCUUCCAAAUUAAAUAAUUGGAAAUUGUGAGUUUAAUCAUUCCACUACUAGCCUCCUCCAUUUAAUUCACAGAAGAGAUCCCACUGCUAAUCAACUUGUCUUUAAUACCACUUGUUAGGGUGAAUUUACAAUAUUCCAACAAACACCAGGAUUUUUCUACCAUUUCUUUGUGAGAAAUUAAAUAGGUAAUAACAACUAGCAAUAAUAAAUAAAUAAACCCAUGCAACGGAAAAAUAAAUCUGACACCAAAAUUUUUACGUGGAAAACCCCUCAACGUGAAGGGAAAAACCAUAGGACCUAGUCCAGUUCAAACUUUCACUAUCAACAAUAAUGGGUUAGACCUGUCUUAUCUAGAAUAAUCUCUAAAGGCUACCAAAUACAUCAAGAGCACAUAUAGCCUUGGAUUAUAUAAUCUCUCUUGGAAAAAAGCAAAGAAAAUUGGAGAAAGAAUACCCAAAAACACGUUGUUACUGUUCACGGGCAGUAACACCAGUUCUCGAGCUCAAAAUCUGAUAUUCACCGUUCAUAUUAUAGCUACUUAAGUUUCGAACCUCUCAUCCAAAUUUCAACUCGAUCGGACCACAGAUGAAGUGGAAUCGGCUCCUUGAUGAAAUCUGGGCAGUGAGACGUGUUUUUCCUUUCGCUAUUCUCUUCUCUCUAUGUUUCAUUUUUUCCCAAUCUCCUUCUGUUUUUGUUUUUUUGUUUUUUUAUUUUUUUUAUUGUAACUGACUUGGGCCCUAAGAAUAUGGGGCCCACUCCCUCACAUACGAGGGAACCCUACAAUAAGUUCUUUUAGCUUUAGGUUUCAAGAUGUUAGAGGUAGAAGUAAGGAGAGACUGAACCCUUGUAUUUUCACUUUUUUUUCAAUAAAGUUUUAGGUCUUCCUUACUAUUUGAUUUUCUUAGAAACCAAACAUAGGUUGUGAGAAGAGAUACUCCACCAUAUUUGACUAGUUUUAAGUGAUCUAGAGAAUGAAGCAUAAAGGUGAAGAUUCCAAAGGAAAAGUAGUAAUAGCACGGUAAACUUUUAAAUGAUUUAUUCUUGCUUUUUAGUUUGAAUUAGUAGGAAUAAAUCAUUCGUAUUAGUUAGUCUUAGAUAAGGUACAAAGGAUUCUUAUCGAAGUACUAGUGAUUCUUGAGAAAGCCUUAAUUAUUAACUUGUUUAAUUUUAUUGUUAACGAAUCUAAUGGUUAAAUUUACAAGAUGGAUAUGAGUUGUGAGUGUUUAAAAUUGAAAACUAAAUUAACUAUCAUAUUUAAUUGGUUUAAGAGAUCUAUUUUUUGAACUUAAAAACCUAGUUUUGGAUGUGAAUCGGUCUUAAAACUCAAAUUCAAUCUCACAUUGACUUCGAUCCUAAACCCUAGAUUAUUUAAUCUUCUCUCUCGUGCCUUUAGUAGUCCUUAAGCCUUGACCUAGUUAGUUGGGCCUUAAGUCUUGACCUAGAUACUCGAGUUUUGAACCUUCACUUCAAAAACAUCUACUAAGGGCUUAAAUAGUUUGACCUUGGAUCAAAUUAAACUUUUUGCAUGCAAAUCUAGAUCUUGAAGCUUGAAACUUUAAACCUUGAAGACUUGAUUAUGCAAAAAUACUUUUAAUCCUUGAAGACCAACAAAAUCUUAAAGCUCUUUAAGGAUAUUUGAGAAAAGAGCUUGAAUACUUAGGCCUUGACACUUGAUUUGGAUAAUUAGGCCUUAGGUCUUGGCUUGGACACUUAGGCCUUCAAUGUUGAUUUGAAGGGUUAGGCUUGAAGUCCUAACUUGGAUACUUGGGUCUUGAGUCUUGACUUGGAAUAUGAACUUAAAUUCUUAACCUAUAUUUAUUUUUCAGAAAAUGUGAAGGAAAAUGCAAGAGAAAGAAGAUAAAAAAGGAAAAAUAAGAGGACAAUAAAAAUAAAUUUAAAGUUAAUAAAUUAUUUUUGUAUAUUUAUUCAAACUCAUUUCACUUUUUUUUUCUUUUGUGUAAGAUUAAAAAAUUGAAAAGGCAUAAAAUUUUAAUUAUGUUUUAUUUUCUUUCAUAUUUUUCCUUAUAAACCAAACAUGAAACUUUUUAUUUCCCUUUCCUUAGUAUAUUUUGAGAACCAAAUAUAGGCUUAGGGUCUUAAACAUUGAUUUAGAGAAUACCAAUUGAACUCUUUGAUGAAUUAAUCUCAAAUUGAAUGAAUUUGUUUUUAGAAACGUAAAUUUUAAAGCUUGAAAUUUGAAAUUUUGAAAAACUUAAUUAUUUAAAGACAUUUUGAAGCCUUGAAAACUACGAAGAGAUAUUGAAAUUGUAAGGACCUUAAAGAAGUAUUGAAAAAUUUUCAAAUUUUCUUUGAAGAAAUCUUAAGGAUGUUUAAGGUUACGUUUGCCUUUUACAAAUUAUUUAAGGAAAGGCAAAAAAUGUUAGGAAAAAUGAUUUUAUUAUAUUUGAUUUACCAUAGAAAAUACAAUUAAAUUACUAAAAACUUAUGUAUUUUCAAAUCAUUUAAUAUUUACAUAAAAGAAGAAAAAUAAGUAAAAUGAGUUUCAACGACUAUAUCAAUAUAAUUUAUUGACUUUAAAUCUAUUUUUAUUUUUAUUGUAUUUUCCUUCAACUUUUUUCAAUAACCAAACAUAGGUUAAAAGAACUUUAAUAUCUCGUAAAUGAACUUCUAAACACAAUUUAUACAUAUUCAUGUAAUUUGAACGCAUUUAAGGAUAUAAAAUAAAUUAUAAUAUAUUUAUAUUUUUUAAGUAAUUUAUAAAUUAUAUUUUUCCUAUAUUUAAUUAAUAUAUAAAAGAUAUAAAAAAAUACUCAUUAAAAAAUUAAGAUUUUUUUUUUAUAUUUUUAACAAUAACUUAAAUAUAAUUUGAAUAUAAUAUAAUUUGAAUAUAAUAUCAUUAAAAUUAAUUAAUUUAUUAAAGUUUUAUUUUAGUAUUUGAUAUGAAUUUGUUAAAAAGUUUAUUUAUUUAUUUAUUUAAUGAAAAUAAAAUGAAAAAAUAUAUAUAAAUCGAAAUUAUUGGUAAUUUAUCAUAAAAACAAACCCAAUAUAUGGGGGGAAAAUAUGGGAAAGUUAGAUAUAUUUCCACCAACAUAGAAGCUAUCAUUUAAAAAAAAAUUAAAAAAAAUUAAGAAUAUUGUUGAAUUUAUUUUAAUAGUCAAGAUAAAACGAUAUAUAUUAUUAAUAAUAUUGAGAAAAAUAUUCUUAUGAAAUAUGCCUAUGAUUCAAAAUUCAAGAAAUAAGGGACGUUAAGUAUAUGAGAAUUUGGAAUGAAAAUGAAUAUGUUGUUUCCAUUCUUAUUUUCUGGUGAAUGAAAAUAAAUUUACUGAUUUCAUUUCUAGUGUUUGGAUGAACCUAGGAAUUUAAUAUUGAAAUGAUUAUUAGUUUUUAUUCUAAUAUUUGGUAAUAAUACGAAUGAUAAUGAAAAAAAUAAAUUGAUAAUAAUAUCUUUACCUAUAGUUUAAAAUAAUUUUUUAUUUUUAUUUUAAAAAAAAUAAAAUUUAAGAGUUUUUUUUUUGUUACUAAAUAAUAAAACUAAAAAAAAUAGUCUUAUUAUGUGAUAAAUCAUGGGUUAAUGAAUGAAAUUUAAGGGUAAAAUAGUAAUUUUUUUAACUAUUUUAUAUUUUCUUAUGAGAUGAAUAAAUCAAAAUUCCAUUUACUUAUUCUAAAUUCAAAUCACACUUAUAAGUAGGAUUUGAUUUAUACUUGAAUCAUUUUUUUUUCAUUGGUACCUUCGUAAAAUUUAUCCAAACAUGAGAAUGAGGAAGAAAAAGAAUGAAAGGUUUAUUCUCACUCCUCAUUUUCACGUACCAAACACUCCCUAAAAAAAAUAUAAAGAAAAAAUAAAAUGGAAAAAAAAAUAAAAAUAAUAAAAAUAAAAUUUAAAAAUGAUAUUUUUAUAUACUUUUUAAAUUCAUUUGAUUUAUUUUUAGUUUAAAGAUCGAAUAAUUUAAAAUUUUAUAAUUUUUAACUAGUUUUUAUUAUUUUUAAAUGUUUUUUGAUUUAAAAAUUAUUUAUCUUAAAAUUCUUUUUUUUCCUUUGAUAUUUUUCUAAAACCAAUUGUUAAAUAGUCUUUUAAAACACCAUAAUACAUUUCAAAAUGAUUAAGAAAAGAUAAAAAAUGAUUUUAAUCCUUGAAAACUCUGUGAAAAUUCAAAAAUUACUUUGAAAAAAUAUGGAGAAUCAUUUCAAGUGAUUAUUAGAUAUUACUUGGUAUAACUUUCUAUUUUUAUUUUAAUUAGAAAAUGAAAUGGGAUGAUAUAAAAUUUUAUUAAAUAUGAAAUAAUUUCUUUUAUAGGUGGGGAUUGAGCUUUUAUAAGAAACAAUAUUUUGGUCCGAAUAUUAAAAUUCUUUUUUUAGUGCAUAAUAUUUUUUUUUGAAUAAAAUUAGGAAAAUAAGUAUAAAAACUUUAUUGAGCUUAAAAAGAAAGAUUUUAACUUUUCAAACGAGGAUGGGGCCAUUACUUUAAAAUUGAUAUUAUUUAAUAUAUUAAAAAAAUACUAUAAAAAUUAGAGUUUUUUUUUUCAUUUAAAUAUUAAUUAUUAUUAACAAUUAUUUUUAAUGAAGUGGCAAUGAUAGAAGUGAUAAAACUAAAAAUAUAGAAUGAUUUAGAAUCACAUAAAAAUUGGAAAAUGUUUUGAAAUGUUAGAAAAUUUAAUAAUCUUUUUUAAAAAUAUUGAAAAAGGAAAAAUAAAAUAAUAAUGGCUGCUGACCGAAAAUAGCAGCACACAUGUCAACUCUUCACAUAGCCUGCUCAACACUUCUCAGUCUCUUGUCAUGCAGACACACAGGUGGAGGUGCAACCCCCAAAGUUUCCAAAACCCACAUGCACAAAACCCUUCUCUUUCUCUUUCUCUUUCUCUGAACACCCACCAAGAAGGAUGGAGGAAGAGGAAGAAGAAGAGUACAGCUUCUUGAUGGCAAAACCACCACCAUGGUUCACAGUCCUCUUGUCCUUCCAAGCAGACUUGAUUCACAACUGCAUCUUUACACUCCUCGCCCCCGUCACCACCCUUUUCUCCAUACUCUCAGAGUCCUACCAAAGAGCAGAGGAGGCCAAAGACAGUGUAAAAUCAGCAGCCAAGAAUGUGCCCUCAAAGGUGGCACAUGGCAGCAGCUUGAUGGUGAGGAAGCUGGCCUGGGGGCUUCUGGGUGCUGCCUAUAUGGGAAUUGUUCUGGUGGCUGUGAUGGUUGUGGCUGUUGUUGUGGGUGUUGGGUUGGUGCAGUUGUGGGUUGAGGAGCCUGUGUUUCUCAGAGAGAGCUUGCAUUUUGACUACACUGAGCCUCACCCAAAGGCUGUGUUCUCUUUUGGUGGCAGCAAGGGCAAAAUGGGGGUUCCAUUAGGGCACACCUUUUAUGUUUCUUUGAGACUUUUGAUGCCUGAAUCUGAUUUCAAUAGAGACGUUGGGGUGUUUCAGGUGAGCUCAUUUGUCAUUACUUUUUUGUGAAUUUCAAUUCUCAUUUGUUGGGUUUUUUUCUGAGACUUUGUGAGAAUGUUGGAUAAAUUUCUUGAAAUAUAGUAUAAUCUGAUAUCAGUAGAGACAUUGGGUGGGUGCUUUAGCUGACCUCAUGACUCUUUUGUGAAUUUCAAGCCUCAUUAGUGGGUUUUCCUGUUACUGUUUGUACCUGUCGAUUUCAAUAAUUUGGGUGAAAAUUUUGAAACUUGUGAAAAUGUUGGCAGAAUUCCAUGAAAUUUCUAAUAUAAUCUUAUUUCAGCAGAGACAUUGUGAAUUUCAAUUCUCAUUUGUUGGGUUUUUUGGGGGUUUUCUUCUACCAUUUAUAGAUUUUGAUUUCAAUAUUAUCUUCGUGAAAAUGCUGUCUAAAUUUCAUGAAAUUUAGUAUAAUCUGAUUUAAGUAGAGACAUUGGGUUGUUUUAGGUGAGUCCAUUACCCUUAAAUUCAUUCCUAUUUUGUGAAUUCUGUCUCAUUCACAGGGUUUUUCUUCCAAUAUUAAUAGAUGCCAAUAGUGAUGUCUGUGAAGAAUAGUAAACUUUGUGAGAAUAUUGGCUAAAUUUCAUGAAAUUUCGUGUAAUCUGACUUCAGUGGAGACAUUGAGGUGUUUUGGGUGAGCCCAUCUCUCCUAACUUCAUGAUUCUAUUUCUUUUUGUGAAUUUGAAUUCUCAUGCAUUGGAUUUUUCUUUGAAUGUUUAUACAUGUCAGUUGUCAUAAUUUGGGUUGAAAAUAUGAAACUUCCCGAAAUGUUGGGUAUGUCUAGAAAUGUUUUGGACGAAAAAUAUGAAACUUUGUCAAGAUUUUGGCUAGAAGUUCAUGAAAUUUUAGUUUCAAGUGAACCAAUUUCUCUGACAUUCAAGAUUUUUUUUUUCCUUGUUUUGAAUAUUGACACUCAUGAAUUGAUUUUUUCUUCUAAUGUUUAUUGAUUUCAAUAGUAAUUUUAGUGAAAAUAUGGAAUCUAGUGAAAAUUUUGGCUAAAUUUCAUGAGAUUUUUUAGAAAUUUAGCUUAAUUUGGUAACAAGAGACAGAUUGGGUGUUUAUGGCUUGCUGGUUAUUUUUUCAAUUCAUGGGCCUUUUUUGUUGAUUCCAACUUUUAGUUAAUAGUUUUCUUUUUUUGGGUCUCCAAACUUGAUUUUAUGGUUGAUAAGCAAAAAAAGAACCAUAGACAAUCAAAAAAGGAAAAAUAGUUCUUGACAUUGUAGACCAACCCAAAAGAAACCACGGGCUUCUACUAGAUGAGAAAUGGGAGGAUCAUAGAAUAUCGGACAGGCCAUGCUGACACAACGUCCUCGUUGUGUCUCAUGAGAUUGUAAGGCCAAACAGACAAACACCCCCUACGAGGCCAAACAAACUCCCACAUUGGGAUCGAGGAUUGACUCUAAUACCAUUUGUAACGACUCGCACACAACCGUGUAAAUAUUGUCCGCUCUAGACCCAAAGGGGCCUUGAUGGCUUUAAAACACGUUUACAAGGUUAAAAAAAGUUCAUACUUAUAUAGCGCAAGAAACUUUCCUCCCUAUUCGAUGUGGGAUGUCACAAACACCCCUCCAUGUAGACACAAUCCUCGUUGUGUCCCAUGGGAUUGCGGGACCAAAUCGACAAACACCCGCUACAGGGCCAAAUAAACUCCCACACCGGGGUUGGGGAUCGAUUCUGAUACUAUUUGUAAUGACCCACUCCCAACCGUGUAGAUAUUGUUUGCUCUGGGCCCAAAGGGGCCCUUACGGUUUUAAAACACGUUUACAUGAUUAAAAGGAGCCUCUAUAUAUAUAGUAUUAGGAGCUUUUUCUCUUAUUCGAUGUGGGAUAUCACAAAUAACACCCCUCCCCAAGAAUGUUGUGUCCCAUGAAAUUGCGGGGCCAAAUAGAUAAAUACUUCCUACGGGGCCAAACAAACCCCCACAUUGGAUUCGGGGAUCGACUCUAAUACCAUUUGUAACGACCUACCUCCAAUCAUGUAGAUAUUGUCCGCUUUGGAUCCAAAGAGACCCUCACAGCUUUAAAACGCGUCUACAAGGUUAAAAGGGGUCCAUACUUAUAUAGCGCUAGAAACUUUCCUCCUUAUCUGAUGUGGGAUUUCACAAACAUCCUCCUAUAUAGACACAACGUCCUCGUUGUGUCCUAUGGGAUUGCGGGGCUAAACAGACAAACACUCCCUACGGAGUCAAACAAAACCCCACACCGGGGUCGGGGAUCAGUUCUUAUACCAUUUGUAACGACUCGCACCCAACAGUGUAUAUAUUGUCCGCUCUAGGCCCGAAGGGGCACUCACAGCUUGUUUCACUCUGUGUCCAAUGAUGAUUAUAAUUGGACACAUCUUACUUUUACAAGCCAAAACAAAUAGGUGAAUCUGGUACAGUUGCAGAUCAGUGUGAGGCUUAUAGAAAACGCUAUUGUGCUGUAGGAAAUGAAAUUAGCUAGAGAAAAAAUAUCUAGCAUUUAUUCUAUUAGAAUUUUAGAAACUAUAUUCCAAACCUUUCACAUUGAUUUGUGGAACAAUCAUAUGAACUAUGUUCUAUAUGGGUGUCUUGUCUUCUUCUAUCCUCUUGUUUUACUUGUGCAACUGGGCUAUGGAAGCCCCCACCACCAUGUUUCUGCUACAUGUUUAUCAGUGGCUAAGUACCUAUAAACUGUAGUUUUAUGUUUUAAUAUACAAGGUGUUUCACAUAUAUGUAACUUGUCUACAAAAAUUCAACUUUGAGCAAAGAGGUAGAUAAGAUUCUUUAGUAGAUGAAGAGAAAAUUGUUAGGGUUUCCCGCUGCUUCGUCUUUCUCAUUAAUGAUGGUUUCAGUGUUUAAAUUCUUAGUCUUGUUAUUCUGUACAGUUGCUCAAACUAUUUUUGAAUUUGUCACAACAUUCACGUUAUAUCAACAAAGAAAUCACAUUUUUCAAAGAGAGCUAUGGUGCUAUCUGAUGUUUUAAAUUUAGGUGAGGUAUGGCCGGAAAAUUUGGCUUACUUCCUGGAAAAAUCUGUUAGCUAAGCAUACAUUCCCUACCAGCUUAGGUUUUUGGACUAAUUGGUAGUUCAACAUGUUACCCAGCUCCUUCCAAAACUUUUAUUUUAAAAAAUUAUUAUAAUUUUUUUUCCUUUUAUAAUGGUGAUUAAUCAAAUUUUUUUGAAAAACCAUGGUAGUCUUUUGAUAUUUGUAUGAUCAUCUAAUAAACGAACAUUCUAUACCAAGUGUUGCCUUACAUGCCUUCAGCUGGUGUGGAUGUAGUUUCACUAGGAUUUCUUUUUAUUUCAAACUAUUUUAGUGAGAUUCUUAAUUUUCUUCCUCUGUGAUUUUCUGAUUUAAUUGUGAACUAUUUCCUAUUUUGUGAUUUCAGUUCUGUCGAUAGUUCCUGCACAAUUUUGUUAUUAUUAUUAUUAUUAUUUAUAUCUUUUUUUCAGGGAGUGGAUUAGGGUGGGGUUGGGUUGGGUUGGUUACCAACAGAGCUGAUAUUUAUCUGAAUGCAUGAUUACAUAUGUGUCUAUUAAUUGAGAAAAAUUAGCUAAAUAUGAACUUUGCUAAUUAUGUAUAGCAUUUUUCAUGAGUUGUAAUAUCAGUUGACUGCAGAAGUCAUGUCGAUCAAUGGGGAUGUGAUAGCAAAAUCGAGCCAUCCAUGCAUGUUGCGCUUUAGAAGCCUCCCAGUUCAACUCACGCGAACUUUUCUCAUGGGGGUUCCACUAUUGCUAGGAAUUUCAAGUGAAACACAGGAGCUAACCAUUGAAAUAUUAAAGCACAAGGAAGGGUAUUCAAGAACCAAAGCCAUCAGAGUAACUUUGAUUCCAAGGGCUGGAACUUUAUCUCUCCCUCAGAUUUAUGAAGCUGAACUCCUCAUGAACUCCCAACUCCCUUGGAAGAAAAAACUGGUGCAUAGUUGGAAAUGGACAUUCUAUGUGUGGAUGUCCUUGUAUGUUUACAUUAUGCUUCUUGUAGUUCUCAUGUGUUGCUUUAGGCCUGUCUUAUUCCCUGUAACAACAGCAAGUCAAAGAGAUCAUAAUGAAAGAGAUUUGACCAUGGAAGUAUCCAAAGAACCAGACUCAAGAGCUAGAGAUGCUAGAGAGGCUUCAGAAUCAUUGAAAAGAUGGCAACGGAGCAGGAACAAGAGAAAGGUAGAUGUUUUGCAGAAGCUCCAACCAGAAACUGUUGGCUCAUCUGCUUCAAGCAUUACUAUAACCAGGGAAGACACAAGUGCGUUUGUUGAAGAGGAUGUUGGGGAUUCAGAAUCAGUGUGUUAGGAUGUUGAGUUGGUAAGUUCAGUUUAGAAUAUGUAUCUUGCCAAUAUGUGUAAUCUUGGUUUUAAUAAAAAGUCUAUAUUCAAAAUUCUUGGCUGUUUUUGCACACUCUGUUUGUUACCAUGCACACUCAGAGCACUCAGAGCAGUCAGUAAGUUUAGUUUUCAUGUAAAAUCGAUCCAACUUGAUCAUUCGAAUCAGAUAUGCCUCCUUAGUUUCAUUGUUGUUAGCUCACAUUUAGUUCGACCUUUGCGAUUAGGGAUAUUAGUUAGGCUGCAAAUGAGUCUGGCACACGACUCAUGAAAGUAUCGUAUAUUCUGUUGUUGGGGCCCCAAAAGCAGACAACUGUAUAGUUAGAAUUAUUAAAAUUUUAAGCCUGCUAGUACUGGGUUGUAAUGAUAUUAAGAUUGUUAUAAUAGGAACAUUGUCAAUUACAGACUUGUUUGGCAUUUUAAAUUCCUUUGAGCAUGCAUAUUGAAAAACUUUGUGCAUUUAUUUUCUCAUUUUGACUUUUAUGGUAAUGUCAUUCUUAUUGAGAAAUUUUUUUCGGGUUUGGGAUCCCAGGUAGAUUCUAGGACUGAUUUGAGUUUUAGAUUUUGGUUUCUUCUAAUCUUUCUGCUUCUCUGUUUUGCCUAUUGCUGCUUGGUAGUGGUUCAAAUUUAGAUUUAAUUCAUUGUUGUGUUUUCAUAAGAGGAGUUAUCUUAACAAUUUAGUCUUAGAAUGUUGUUCUGGAAGAGCAAGACAAAAUGAAGAAAACCAACCUUGAGUCUUGAACUUGAGAUUUCUAGGGAACUAGAGCUCAUAGAAUAUUAAACUAUCAGUUACUUAAGAAGUUCAAGCAUCAUAUAAUGGAAGUCAUACCAUGUUAAUUCUAUGUUCUUGAUCCUUGAACCUACCUAAGGGGAGGGUGAAUAGGUAGUCCAAUUAUUAAGGCCCAAAUUUUUAUUUUUUAUUAUUCUUUUUUAAUCUUUCAGUUAUUCAGGAUCAACUAUUAUUGUUCAGGAGAUUAUGGAAUAAUAAUGGAAUCAAUCACCAAAAUGAGACAUCCACUUAUAGAUCUUCCUUAGGCAUAAAAUCAUGGGUCUCAAUUAACUGCAGAGCAAAUACACUAUUUAUGAAAAACUAGUAUACAGACUUCACAGGUCUGAGAACAUUGUGUUGUUAGCUUGGGUUUUCACUUUCCUACCAAUGUGCUUGGUUUUCUAGCAUAUCUAAUGAACUAGUUAUUGUGAAAAACUGUUAACCAUGUAGAAUAGUAUAGCUAAAUAUGGUAUUUUGCAGGUUUAGGGAUUUGCCUCAGAUUCAUGUUUUUACUUGGGAGCUCGGUACAAGAUUUCUUAUCUAGAAUAAACUCUAUGAGCAAGUUCAAAAUAAAAGGAAUUCUUUGUGCUUUUCUAAUCCAUUUCUAGUCUCUUUUCAAGGAUCAAAGGUGACAAUAGAAGGUGGUUUUUUGUGCUUUUGAAGAUAAGAAGAGAUGGAGCAUUAUCAGUGUGACAUACAUUAUCUGUUCAUCCCUUAACAUUUAGCUUAAGCUUUUAUGCAACUGGCAGUUUAAUAUUGUAUUAAAGAUCUUUUCAUGAGGGUUAAAGGUUGAGUCUCUUUCUCUGUUUAUUACGGCAUUUUUCUAGUGUCCAUUGUGUUAGUGACUGACCUAUGUGAAUUUGUGGAACAUGAUUCAUGGUAUCGAGUACAAACUAUUUGAAACUUUGAAAUUAGUAGGAAUUUGGAGGAAAGAAAGUCCACUGAUCACCUUUGCAUGGAUGAUAAGUUUCCUUUUGUAAUUUUAGUGACAUAUAUUCAUCUAUGAAGUUACAUCAUACAUGGGUCAAAAUUGGAAAUAUUGGACUUAUAGGACCCACACUUCUAUUUGCUUUUUGUUCUUCCUUCUCUCACAAUGCAUCUAAUUGACAAGCGAGAUCAUUUGUUGGAUGUUGAAGCUAAAUUCUUCCUCCACCUGACUUAAUAAGGAUUUGAAUGAAGGAUGGUUUAAACAUGAUAUCCGAAUGACAAAUCUAACUUCUUCUCAACUUCUCCAACUAAACUGAAAAAAUGGCCUUUUGGGAGAUUUGCCCUGGUUGCUGAAGUAUAGUUAAUUGAUUUAGGAAGAAAAGACUUUAGUUUGAGCAACUGAUUGACUUGAAACAUAAAAGGAAAACAAAUACCCAUGGUCAAUGCUGAAAAAUGAUCUCAAGUAGACCUAAUAAGCUUAGUCUAGCACAAGAUAUCCAAGAGGUUGCAUGGUAAGGCUACACUGGAGUUGUUAUCUCCUUCAGUAGGUUCGAUAAAGAUAAACCUUGAUGGAUGUUCUUUGGGUUAUCCGGGAUAAUCAAGUAUAGGAGGUGCAAUAAAAGAUCAUUUGGGUACAAUAUUGAGAGCUUACUCUAAACUUGCUAGAUACCUAAAUGUAAAAGGAGUUUCUGUGGUUCUCUUUGGUGUCCAAUAGGGAAAGAGGCUCAUGGAAACUCAAUAAUUGACUCUGGAAAAUUCUAGAUGUUGAUAGUUAAGUGGGAUGCUUCUUCUAUUGGGUUCCUCACUCAGCUAUCAAGCUGCAGACCAAUUAGCCAAGCAAGGAGCAAAGCACUUGGUUCCUUUUGUUAGAAACUUUUUUUCUGCCCCUAAGUAAUAGAGCUUUUAUAGCGUGGGUACAUUGCUUUGUCCGCUCAUAGUCUAUGUAGAUAGUUGUAGGUUUUGUGAAACAAUGUACGUUUCUGCUUGUUGAUCAACAAUUGUAGAUAUUAGAAGGAUUGUUUGUAUUUCUCAUUUGAUGAAAUGAAUAUAUUGCAUUUCUGAUUGAAAAAAAAGGUGGAACUAAAUACAAGGCUUCUUAAGGGGCAGCUAUGGCAGAGUGAAAUCCUUGUAGCCUACCUCAGAUGGUCCCAUGACUAUCAAUUCUAGAUACAUUUAGACUAAGAUAUGACUUCACAAUCUUAUGUACUCCUAUCCAUAAAUUCUCAUUUCUCAACUUGGUGCUUUGUAGUUAGCUACUAUUCUGAGUGAUCAAUCUGGGUUAGUUUCAAUGUUUCAUAUUUAUCAUAGUGGAGAAAAGAAACUAUAUUGAUCUUUCUAUGGAAGUAAGAUUCUUAUAACUCUGCCCGUUUAUUUACAACAAUGGUAUAAUCUACAUGGGUCAAAAUCAGAGGUAAUGAAGUCAAGUGGUGAACUAUUUUUCUGACUCUUUGCUCUUCCUUCUUAUGAUGCAUUUAGUCGAGAAAUGAGAUCAAUGAAAGAAUUUUUUUUUUUUAUAAGUAAAAGCAAUUGUAUUAAGAAAGCCUGAAGUACACUUGAAAGUAUACACGAUGUAUACAAGACAACAAGGCCAAAAAGAAAAGGAAUAACAGAAAAACCCCUUACUUACAUCCCAACCAAUCAAUGAAAUAAAAAAUGGACCAUGAUGUACAAUCUACACGCACCCUAACCUAAUCUGAAAACAUGUACAAAAAAGACCGUAAAAUAGCUUGAUCCGCUAAUUCGGUAUCUUCAAAGAUUCUUCUAUUUCUCUCCUUCCAUAAAGUCCAAAAUAAACAUAAAGGGGUUGCAUUCCACGCCUUUUUCUUUUCUUUCCAACAAAGGAGUUGUUCCAACCAAGAAUGAUUUCCUUGAUAGAAUUGGGCAUAACCCAUUGAACACCAAAAGAGCAAAAAUAAGGUGCCAAAUCAUAGCUGCCUUGGGACAAUGAAUAAGCACAUGAUUUGUUGAUUCUUCAUCCGCUUUACACAAAUAUCACUUGCUUGGUAAGAUCCAACCCCUCCUUUUUAGUUGAUCCAUAGUUAGAAUUCUUCCCCAAAUAGCCUCCCAAGCAAAAAAACGGACUCUCUUUGGAACCCAAGGAUUCCAAACUAAGCUUGAAGGGAACUCUCUUCCGAUGCAAGGAACUAAGGAUGAGUAGAAAAACUUAACUGUAAAGAAACCUUUAUUUGAAACCCUCCAAGACAUGACAUCCUCAUCAUCGCUUCUAAGCGCUUGACCAUGUAACCUUUUGAAAAAAGCUUCCACCUCUUCCAUUUCCCAAUCAUUGUUAAGUCUUGUGAAUACAGGGUUCCAGUGACCUAAAUCCUCGGAUUGAUCCCACAAUUGAGCUACCCAAGUAUCUCUGGAGGAGGCAAGAGAGUACAAGCUUGGAAAAGCCUAUUCCAAGGAAUCCUCUCCACACCACCUAUUCUUCCAAAACUGCACUCUUCUACCAUCUCCCACCUUAAAAGCCAUCCUUUUGCUAAACUCCAUCCACCUAUUCCUAAUCGCCUUCCAAAGUCCCACUCCAUAACCCUCCCUUGAAGCACCAAAACACCACCCUCCCUCCUUCUCUCCAUAUUUCUCUACAAUCACUUGUUUCCAUAAAGAAUCUUGCUCCAAAGCAAAUCUCCAACACCAUUUUCCUAGAAGAGCCUUAUUCAACCUAGAAAGAUUUUUGAUACCUAAGCACUCAUCCUUUUUCUCCAUACAAAUAAUAGACCAAUUCACCAAAUGCAGCCUACUUUGGGAAGCUCCUCCCCCCCAAAGGAAGUCUCUUUGAAUCUUCUCCAACCUUAGGCUCACCUUGCAAGGAAUGAUAAACAAUCACAUAAAGUAAAUUGGGAGGUUAGAGAGAGUGUUUUUUACCAAAGUCAACCUUCCUCCUUCGAACAAAUACUGUCUCUUCCACAAAGUGAGCCGUUUUUAAAAUCUCUCUUCCACUACAUCCCAAACCCGAGAUGAUUUGAAAGCAGCUCCCAAAGGUAGACCCAAAUAACAAAAGGGAAGAGAGGCUAUUUUGCAGCCCAACACCCUAGCCAAGUCCUCAAAAUUAGGAACCACCCUUACUGGAAUCAGCUCGCUUUUGUGAAAAUUGAUUUUAACCCGGGAAUCGCUUCAAACCACAUAAAAGCCCAACUUAAGACCCCCACAUGCCUUUCUUGCAUCAUAAAAAACUAGGGUGUCAUAAGCAAAUAAAAGAUGAGAAACAGCCACUCCCUCGCCUCCUCUCCCACUAGCCAUGAAACCCUCAAGAAA
rnacentral:lncRNA from 1 species